ACGAGGUGAAGAAGAUUAACGCGAGAUGCAAAUUUCAAGCCUCGUCUUUAGAAGGCGAAGGCACUGUUGUAAGCUUGGGUUCAGAGCAUAGGUCUGAAACAUGAAAAGCUCGAAACUUGAAACACCAUCUUUAUAUAUUUGGUCUUAUUUUUGCUUUCGAAAGUGUUUAAGAAUGCUUGGGUGCUUGCUUGGUUUUUUGCCGUGGUCUGGUUCGGUUUGAGGAAAGCCGAUGACGAAGUUGUCUCGUUGUCUUUGCCUUGAGAUUACUGCCUAUAUUGUUACCAUUCGGGACCGAUCUCGAUGGUCUCGGUGGCUCUGCAAGAGGACCCCAAUGUACUGUCAUUAGCACUGCCCAAAUGUAGUGCCUGAUGGUCCCUAUUGGCGCAGAUUUGCCCUCUCACAAAAGUUGUCAAAGUGUAUGGUCCAUAAAGGCUUCAAUUAAAUCUAGAGUCGGGACCCUUUUUUACACGAAGGGCAAACACUCUCAAUGAUGUUCUUUUUCAUUCACAAAACUUGAAUCUAAAACAAAAAAAAAAAGUACUAUGAAAGUCUUUGGAUUGGUUGGAUUAUUUUGCCUCCUUUACUUUAGAAAUGAACUAAUUAGUUUUGAUACAUUAAAUCAAAGAGUAAAUUGGUUUUUGUUAAAAAUUUCAUCUUAUUCUAUAAUUAAAAACUAAUACAUUGGAAUAAGGGAAAUGUAGUACAUCAUGUGUAACUGUUUGAUUAUUUUAUUAAUUAUAUCAAUUAUAUCAGUUUUUAAUAGUUAGAAUGGAUGAACUAUUAUAUGGUGAUUUAUUUGUUAAUUUUUUAAAUGAAGUGAUAAAGAUGCAAUUACACGAACUCAAAACUUUGUUUAAAGGGAUAUCAAAUUUUUUAUCAGUUGAUUAAACUUGAGAAUUGCAAACUCAUAAAUAGAGAUUUAAUCUCGUAAAUCAGACAUUAUAACCUUGCCAUUAAGAUGCUUUAAAACAAAAAGGCAGUCAAUCUUCACUUUUAACUAGAAAUGAAAGAAUCAUAUUAGGUAAUAACCUGACCAAAACUUCACCAGAAAAAGAUUGGGAAUUUCUAAAUGUGCAAUGUCAUCCCAAGCUAAGAAAAUAGGGUGUGAAAAUUAGGCAAAAUGUGAUGUAGGAAAACAAUAAAAACUUUAUAAGUAGGUAGAAAAUCCAAGUGAUAAAGACAUACCAAGAUCUUGUUUAAAUUUUUAUGAAUAUGUUUAUGUUCGUCACCCUAUUUGUUUCCAUUUUCAACACCCGCUUUUUUAUUUUUAGUAUUUGUCAAUUUCAUAUUUUAAUUUCUUUUAUUUAUAAAAAAGGUGAUAUGUGGGUCAUAUUUGGGAUUUUUUUUUAAAAAAAGUUUUUAAGAUCAUCACUAAAUUAUUACUUUAGUUCUAUUUUGGUUAUUAAACUAUCAAUUUUUUUUAAUUUAGUUUCUAAAUUUUUCGAAAUCAAAUAUUUUGGUCACUCAAAAGUUGAUUUAGGUUUUUCUUUAUUGGUCUAAUAACAAAUUUAACCCUCUGAUGUUUAUAUAAAAUAUCAAUUUGAUCCUAAAUAUAAAAUAUUCAACAAGUUUAGCCCUUGAUGUUUACAAUAUUUGUCAUUUUAGUUUGAAUUCUAAAAAAAACUACUUUAACUUUAUCUAUAACUAAAUAAUCUAUUUCCCAUAAUUUUAUCUUAUGACAACUUGAGCUUAUUUUUUUUUUCCUAUUUCAAGUAUCAAAUUUUGUUGUUUGGGGAUUUUUUUUAUUAUUAUAAGUUGAUUGGCAGGCUGUUGCAACACUUUCCAAAGAUCUGUAAUCGACUUUGUUUCAUCAAUUUUAAUGGUUUAAAUAUCAUUAUUAUAUGGUGUUCUUUUUAUUCUUUUUUUUUCCCCUUUUUCAUGUGUUGGGUUAGUAAACAAGGUGUAUAGAAAUGGUCUAUACCAAAGAUGAUGUUAGAAAUAUUAUAUUGGAGUAGGGUAAAAUUAUAAAACUUUGAAACCUAAAACUAAGAUUUAUGGGUUAAGAAGCUUAAAUUAUUAAUUUUUGUAAAGGACAAAAAAUUACUUUGUUGAAUUUUUUAGAAUUAGAACUAAAUUGACAAAAUUUGUAAAUUUGAGGACAAACUUUGUUGAAUUAUUUAGAAUUCGAACUAAAAAUACAAAUUUUACAAACAUUGAAGGCUAAUUUUGUUGAAUAUUUUAUAUUCAGAAUCAAAUUGAUAUAAUGUAUAAACAUUAGAGGGCUAAAUUUAUUAUUAGACCAAUAAAAAGCCCAAAUCAACGUGACCAAAUUACUUGAUUUCGAAAAGUUUAAUAACUAGAUCGAAAAAAUUAAUAGUUCAAUGACCGAAAUAAAAUAAAGGUAAUAUUUAAUGUUUAUUUUUAUAAUUUACCCUUAAAUUUAAAAAUAAAAGAUUUUAUACACCUAAUUAUCUGCUUCUUGAUUCUUUUUUCAGGCAGAAUUAUAAUUAUAAUCAUUAAAUUUGAAUAAUUACAACCAAAAUCAAUAAUUACAAUGUAUAAUUAAACUAAAAAACAUAAUAAACUUAAACAAAAUCUCAUAACUUCUCUUUGAAUUAGCCUUUGAGUUUUAACUUCAUAAAGUCUCGUCUAAACACUCAUGCACUUUGAUAAUUAAGGUUUUCAGAACCAGAUUGGUCGUUGAACCAGUUAGAUCACCGAUUCUUCGCACAAUUAAAUAAAUUAUUAAAAAAUAAAGAAAAUUGAUUUAACAGUCGAUUCAAACAGUUCGAUUGACCAAUUCUAUUGAUUCAACUGCUUUAGAGAGUAAUUGGUCCAACACUUUAUUUCGGACCAAUACUCUAAUUGAUUCCUUAUCCUAUCUAAUUCUAAAAACAAUGCUGAUAACUCAUUUUUCCUCAUUUCCAUGAACUAGUGAAAGGACUUCUUUAGUUAAAAGACAAGGUUAUAAGAACUUACUUAAACAAAGCAAAUCUAAUUACAUGUCUUUCUUUUUUUUUAACAUAUUAGCUAAUUAUCUAGAAAAAGUGAUAAAAGAAUAAUUAUUUAAUAUAUUAAAGAUAAGAUUUUUUCAAUUCCACAAAUAUAUAUUAUUAAUUGGUAUUUAAAAAAGACACAUCAGUAAUUUCUUAACCCGUUUGAAGAGUUAAAAGCCAUCAACAAUUGUGGAAGCCCGUUUUAUUCAUCAACUUAGCCCAUAUUGGCAUCGUUAUUUUGUUUUUAUUGGGCAAUUGUUGUUCCCAAACGGCCCAUAUUUGGGAAAGAGUUUUUGUAAAAAAAAAUAAAAUUGGGUAAAUUAACAUUUAGUCAUUGAAUUAAAUUUUUUUUUAGCUUAAGUUGGAAAUUGGUAAUUUUCCCAUUUUGGUUGUCAAACUUGAAAUCUGAGGAGAUAAUUUAAGAUUGUGUCAAGUCAUCAGUUAAAAUUUUAAAAUUAUAUGUAAAAUCUAAAAAGUAUACCAAAAAAUAUUAAUUUUUUUAAAAAAAAUUUAAUUGACGAUAUAACAUAAUUUCAAAAUAUCACAUAACCAUAUCUUAAUGAAAUUAAAGUUUAAGGACGAAAUUGAAAAAAGCUACUAAAUUUGAAGUAUGAAGGUGAAAAAAAUGAUGAUAUACACUAAACUGGAACUGUGAAUUGAUGACUAUCAGUUGAAGCAUAUAAAAAACAUAAAUAGAUGAUAUUUUCCCCAUUUCACUUUUUACAAGUUUGAAAUGGUUGGCUCAAAUAUCAAUGUAAAUGUAAAUAUAGUCAUCUUGUCUAAAUUAAUUGGCAUGAGCCUUGUUUUUCACCUAUCAAUCACCAGGAAGUUGCAUUACAGGGAAACAGCCUCAUCCAACUACUCCCAUUUAUUUAUGAGAAUCGCAAUCAAAAGAUUUUUCUUGUAUAGCUGGGCUGCAACAUUUCUUUAUUCAUUGUGGGAGAAAUAAAUGGUAAGAAUCCAAUGAUACCAAAAUAGUGAGAGCUCCAGAAAAAAUUAUUAUCAAAUUUUAUUGUAGAAUUUGGAUUUUAAUCAUGCUUUUUCGAUUUAACUUCGGAUUAAUUAUAUUUUUAAUGGGUGGAUUUUAAUCCAUUUUAAACAUUUCCUUCAAUUUAAAUUAAAAAUAUCUUUCUAUUUAUAAUAUUUUGUAUACAUAAUAAUCGAAUGAAAAUAUAAUUAUUAAGGUAAUAAUGACACUCAUAUUUAUAAAAUAUCAUAAUUCCUUAGAUAGUAUUUGACUGACAAAGUGUAAUUACGUCAUAAUUUUUUAUGUCAUAUUUGGUAGUAUAAAAUUUAAUUACACAAUUACAUAAAAAUAAACAUUACUAUAAAAAAAUUGUUAGUGUGAUAAAAAUAAUUUCUGAAUAAUAAAAAUUAAAAUCAAAUCAUCAUAAAUAUUAUGUUAGUCUAAAAAAGUAAUUGAUAAUACGGUUACUGAUAACAAUAACAAGAAAAAUAAACAUUAUGUGCAAUUUUAUCUAAUUAUUCUAGUGCAUAUUUAUUGGAUUAUUCCCUCAUUUAAUAUUUAAUAUAUACUCAUUAUCAUCAAUUGUUAGUCCUAAGUGAUUUUUAUAUCUUGUAUAAAUUUAAAAAAAAAUAAAUAAAUUUGGUUGUAAUUACCUAUGUAAUUACUUUAACUCUCACCCUCUCUCUUAAGAAUUAAAAAAAUGUAAUUGAGGUGCUCCAAUUACACCCAAAUCAGCAGGACCCACUAAUUACAAUGGUUAUCCAAAUAUAUCACCAUUGUGUCAUUACAAGCAAUUACACUCGAAUUUAAUUACUAUGUGAUUUCCCAAACAUUAUUUAAGUAAUUAUAAAAUAACAUAUUUGAUUUUAAAAUAAGGGUUUUUUUAAACGAAUUAACAAACUACUUUGUUUUACAUAAUUUAAUUUUAAGGGUAAACUAUCAAAAUAGUCAUUUUUGUUUACCUCAUAUUACAUUUUAGUCACUUAUGCUUGAAAUUUUACGUUUUAGUCACUUACGUUAACGUGUUGUAACAUUUUAGCUAUUGAGCCGUUAAGUAUUGUUAACAAUGUAAUUGUAAGCUGACGUGCCAUGUUAAAUCAUCAUUUCAAACAAAAAAUUUAAGAUAAAUUAUACAAUUGGUCCCUAUAUUUUUUUGUUUUAAGCAAUUUAAAUUUUUUUCUUUUAUGUUCUUUUAACUUUCCUUUUUUUUUCUUUUUUUUUUCAUUCUCUUCUCCUUCUCCAUUUGUUUUCCUCCCUUCUUCAUCUCUUUUAACGUAGUUUUUCUAUAUUUUUCAUUUGUUAAAAUUUUAGUCCCUAUAUUUUUAUUUUUUUGAACAAUUUAAUUUUUUCUUUUCCUUUUCUUCUUUCCCUUUAAUUUUAAAAAAUGGAAAACAUAAAAAAACUACAUUAAAAGAGAUGAAGAAGGGAGGAAAACAGAGGGAGAAGCAGAAGAGAAUGAAAAAAAAUAGAAAAAAAAGGAAAGCUAAAAGAACAUAAAAAGAAAUUAAAUUACUCCAAACGAAAAAAUAUGGGGAUUAAUUGUGCAAUUUAACCUAAAAUUUUUAUUUGAAAUGAUGAUUUAACAUGUUACGUCAACUUACUAUUACACCAUUAACGGAAAUUAACGGCUCAGUAAAUAAAAUGUUACAACACAUUAACAUAAGUGACAAAAGCGUAACAUUUCAAACAUAAGUGACUAAAAUGUAACAUGAGGUUAAUAAAAGUGACUAUUUUGAUACUUUACCUUAAUUUUAAAUUAUAUUAAAAUUAUUUUAUUAUAUAUAUGUAUAUAUUAUAUUACAUUGUUUUAUCUAAAGAAAGAAACACUCAAUUCACAUUACAAUGAUACAUGAUACCCUUCAUUUGAAGUACUUAUUUAUAAUUUAUUUUCUUUCAAUUUUUUAUAUUAUAAAUAAUAAAAUUUAUUUUAAAUUAAUUCUCUCUUUAUUUUAAUAAUUAAAUUAACUUUUAAUGUUAUAAUAUUAAAAUUACAUAAUAUUCAAUUGUUAAGCUCAAAAUAUAGUAUUAAUAAAAGGACAAUUAUUAAUAUAGUUUAAUUAUUAAAUAUAACAAAAUCGUGCAUCACACGGGAUAAAAAAACUAGCAUAUAUAAGGAGGGAUCUAUUUACACAAGUGUAAGAUUAUAGUAAUUUUAUACCAUUUUCAUAUAUUUUCGUAUGAUUAAUAUUUUAACGAUUCAACCAUUGAACUUAUCAAUAUAAUUUUACUUGUCAUGCAUGUAAAUUUUCGAACCGAUGCAAUAUUUUUAUCAUAUUGAUCUUAAAUAUUGUCUAUAGUAAUAUUUAUUGAAUGAUUGAAAGUUUUUUUUUUACAUAAAAUAAAUAGUUAAAAUUUUAAUUUACAUCAAAUUUGACACGCAUGAUCUAUAAGAAUAGAAUAUAAAAUAUGACAGUUUGAUCGUUAAAAUAUUAAUCGUAUAUAAAUUUUACACAGAUAUAAAUAGAUCCUUCCCUGUAUAUACAUAUUAGAAUAAUAAAACUAUCCAAUCAAAUUCAAGACACAUGUAUGAGUCUGAAUUUAAAGGAACGCAUUUUUUGAAAAAUAAAAAAUAGAAGGUAAAAAUUAUCUAAAUAUCUAAUCAGGAAUUGAUGUUAAUUAAAGACUUGAACUCAUUCCACCAAUGAUUCAGUCCAUCAUAUUAAAUCGAUUCUAUUGCACCUAAAAAAGGGUUAGCUGGAAAUCGACUUUCCACGACUUUGGUAUUUAGCUUAGUGUCGAAAUUCAGAUGGUAAGGAAUUUGAGGUCAAGUAUCUUACAUAAAUUAUAAGAUAAAUCUAUUCAUUACUUUAUUUAAUUUUAAAAAGUUAUAAUUUAGUUAUUUUCUUUAAUUUUUUAAGUGAUUAACGCUAACGACCAGAUUAUAAUUUUUUUAAUUAAAUAAUCAAAAUAAAAAUUUAUACGUAAUUGAGUAACUAUUAACAUAGUUUACCCUAAAUCAUAUACUUUAUUGUUUUUUCUUCCUCACUAUAAAACAAAUCAUAUAUGUUUCAUAAAUAUUGAGAUUUAAAUUUCACGUAAAUUGAAUAGAAUCUUUUAAAGAGUAAAUACGAAAACUAACCAGAAAUUUGUCAAUCUUUGAUAAACACCCUUUGAAGAUUUGUUGCUUUCACAAUAUUAAGUAUAUGGUUUUAUGCAAUAAAUUGGAAGUCACUUUCAAUGAAUUAUUUUUGCUAAUUUAAUGAUCAAUCUUUAUGUGUAUGUACCAAAGGAUGAGGCUGGAAAUUUAGAGAGACUUGUCGGUACUUUAAAAGCUUCAACAUGAAGAAGAAAAAAGAAGGAACAUAAACUUUAUUGUGUUAUAUAUGGUUUUUGUUUAAGGCUAGUGGAAUAUUUUUUAAGACACCUUAAUCAUGCUUGUUCAAGUUCAUUAAUUGAAUUAUAUGGAUGAUUAUUUUUUAUUUAAGCACGUUUAUUAAUGGAUAAUGACAAAAACCCUUUGCUAAAUCAAGUUGGAAAAUAUAGGAAUAUUAUAAAAAUAAAUAAAUAAAUAUGAGUGGUGAUGCACCCACUCUUACUACCCAUAGUCCUUAUAUUAUGCAUGCAACAAAAUAAUUCAAAUAUAUAUAUGUAUAUAUGUGUAUAUACACAUAAAAGAAAGUUCAUAAAGCUUGCUUUAUCUAUCUCUUUUUUGGCCUUUUUGACCUGUUUUUUUUGUUUGUCCAUGCAUCUAAAUAAUUCUUCAUGUUUUGGCCACGUUUAAUCACCUUUUGUUGCUCGGAUGACUGGACUUUCCCAAAGGGUUACAGAGUUGAAUUUGGCAAAUUUCUCCAACCUGGUCACUGAACUUUUUUUUUCCUACAUUAGUCUUGACGCUUGGUAAUUUUUCCCAAUUUUGAUACAUGCAUCAUCUAAAUUAGAUGAUUAUAUGGUACAAUUUUAGACGGUCAGCUCAUCGCAAGGACUAAAAUUAGGAAAAGUAGCCAAGUGUCAAGACUAUUUUAGGAAAAAAAAAGUUAAAGUGACAAGGUUGGAGAAAUUUGCCAAAUUCAAGGGCUAAAUAUUGCCUUAUCCCAAAACAUAAAGAAAAAAAACUUAAUAGUUUUUUAGGGUUAAUAGCAUCCAGCAUCGCUAAAUUAUUAUUUAAAUUAAUCCUCAAAUUAUAAAACAUUCUAAUUGAAUCCUCAAAUAUAUUAGUAAUUUACAAUUAGUUUUUCUUGCCAAGAUAACAACCGGUUUGGGCAUUAAAUGUUAACUUGAGAUCUAAUGUGAAAUAUAUUUAAAAUAUAUAUAUGGAUCAAAUUUUAAAUAGAUAAUAUCCUUUUUAAAACACAUCAAAUUUAACUUAUCUAUGUAGUAAGUAUUUACACAUUUUUAAACAUGUUCCACUUGUGAUAUCUAAACAGCACCCUAAUUGACCGUUUAGAUUGAUGAGUUUAAUUAAUACAAUAUUAAUAUUGGAAGAAUUCAAUUAAAACAUUUUAAAAUUUAAAUCAAUUUGAAACCUCUUGCGCAAUUAGCCCUUCUAAGAGACCCAUGCAAGAAGUAUCAAAAGGUCAAAAAUUUGAAAAAAAAAGCAUUAUAGUUUUUAAAAGCUCAUAACGUCCAAAGAGAGUUUUGUAAUGAGCAAGGCUUUACUGUGGUGGAAAAUUGGUAGCCAUUAAUGAAUGAUUGAUGUUUGAUGGCUUCUUAAAAGAAGAGUUUUCAAGUCAACCUUGCAUGUUAAUUUUAGAGUGUUGACUGCGUGUAACUUAAAUUUGUUUCACGUUAAGGUUUUAUCAUUUUUUAUAAUUAAAAAAAAAACUUGAAGUCAAAAGAGAAAUUAUUUUUAAUUCUUAUUUAAUAUUGAAGAUGAUGAAAUUUGUUGUUACUUUUUUUUUCCACAUAAUUCAACCACUCUCUUUAAUAAGCUUUGUCUUUAUAUAGAAAAAUCAUAUUAUUAAAUUAAUCCUUCUACCUUUUUUUCUACCUUUUUGACUUUGAAUUAUUUACGAUGGAUAUAGAGUCUUCUCAUCCUCUGCUUUUAGUCACCUUCUGUCUUCCUUUUGCUACCAAACCUGUAAACUAAGCCUAACUAUUUGCAAUUACUACCCAUAGACAAAAUCCCCACGGUUAAAAAUUAUAUUAUAUUAAUAUAAUCGAAAUAUCUUUUGUAUUUAUUUUACAAUUUGAGUUUAUAAUUGUCUUCUUAAUAAUAUUAUUUUAGUAUUUGAACUUAAAUUUAGUGUAAUGUAACUUACUAUUACACUUAACUCUUGUUAUAUAUAUAUAUCGUCAAUUUUUGGUAAGUUGAGUGUCAAAGAAUUUGAUGUCCCAUAUGUUUUUCGAGUCUUGGAUUCAGAAAACAAUGUUGAGAGAAUUUUACUUCUCAUUUAAGAGUUUGACCUGACUUAACUUUGAAUUUAAUUUGAACUCAAUAAGAUUAUCAGAUACUAGUUGGUCUCAGAAUAUAUAUAUAUAUUUGGCUGUAAUAAGAGGCAACAUCAGGAGGGACAGUAAGGGGCUUUGACUCAAAAAUGAAAAAAUUUGUUGUUUAAUUCUUUCAUAGAUGAUGAAAUUGUAAGUUAAUAAAUGAAAAAGUUAAAAUUUGCCCCUUAAAAUGAAAAAAAAUCUAUUUAAUUCCAUCAAAAUAAUAAAAUUAUAAAUUAAUACAUGAUAAAAUUAUAUUUUGUGAUUAUAGAUGCAACAAAAAUAAAUAAAGUAUAUAUCAACAUUAGUUGCAAUAAGAAACAACCUUGGCCCCAAAGUAGAAAAUUUAUUAUUUAAUCCUUUCAAAAAUGAUUUAAUUAUAAAGUAAUAUAUAGUAAAAUUAUGCUUUAUCCCUCAAAAUAAAAAAAAAUGAGUUAAUCUAUUAAAAAUUCAUAAAAUUAUAAAUAACUACACAAUAAAAUUACACUCCAAUUUUUAAAAUUUUAUAAUUCAAUUUCACCUUCAAAAUCAAACUUCCCAGAGAAGCAAUUAAGACUGUCAAAUUAUGGUCUCCAUAUGAGACAUUUCCAUUAAUGAAAAAUGUAAAUAAUUCAAUUUCUUAGCAUGUGACAGAUAUGGAACAACAAUCUGUAUGAAAACGCCAUUAAACUUUCCAACUCAGGCUUGACACUGAUCCGCCAAACUUGUUGUUGAAGGUACAUAAAAAGUGUUUAAUGGCAUGUUUUUUUUGAAAAAAGAUGCAUUGAAUCUAUGAUUUUUUUGCACAUGUAUGUUUUCUUAACCAACAAAAAGGUCAUAAAUUUAUGAGGAUUAAUUGAACAUUGUGCAUUAAUGAAUGAUAAUUAAUUUUUCGUUAAGUUUGUACAUUUAGAAUUAAUGAAUAUGGUUUAUACAGAUAAAUUGAUGAAUCUUAUGUUCAUAAGUAAUAAAGUUUAGCAUUUGGGUUAAAGACUGUGUUUCAAAAGCAUUGUGGAAUAAUCAUUCAUUUAUUUUUUUAAUAUUAAUUUACUUUUUUUAUCAUUUUAGCCCUAAUUUUUUUUGGAUCACUUUAGGUCUCAACAUUUAAAAUUUAGUCAAUUUGUUUUCUUUUAAUAGCACUAACAUAACCACUCAUAUAGCAAUUCAUGUAUACUUCUUAAAAAUAUUUAAAAAAUUAAUAAAUUUAAGAAAAAUUGACAAAAUUUUAGCAAAAUUAUGCCAUUAAGUAUACAUUGAUUACAUUAAAGUAUUAUAGAGACUCGUGUUAGGAUUCAAAUUGUAUUAUUUUUCUUUUACUUAAAAAAAAGAUAAAUUAGUUUCUAUACAUUAAAUCAAAUAACAUAUUAAUUUUUUCUGUUAAAAUUUUAUCUAUAUGUACCAUUAAAAACUAACAUUACUGAUAAAAUAACCAAAGAUUGGGGGGAAAAUGCAAUAUGAGAGUAUAGCAUUGGUUAGGGUUGGAAAUUAAUUUUACAAAGAAGUUAUCUUUAUAGACUUUUGAUAAUAUAUAAAAACGUCCGUGGACUUAUAACCCUUUUGCUAUGUCAUGACUUUCCUUCGUCUCCCCUUUUCAUACGUUAAAAACUCGUCGCCACUCCUUUUUGCUUAUAUAAACAAAUCAUUUUUAGUCACCAUUUUUAUUUAUACAAAGAAACCAUGGGAUCCAAAGCAGAGAAAGAAUGGAGUUCCACAUCAAAGCUACCAUUAUUUUCAUCCCCACAUGCACACAUGCAAUCACCGGAAAAACAAUGGGUUUUAACCCCACCACACCAUGCUUUAGCCUCGGUUCCGUUCCGAUGGGAAGAAGAACCAGGGAAACCCAAACCAUGUUGCACAACAACACUCACCACUACUUAUGACUUGGGUCGAAAGUGCUUGGAACUGCCUCCUAGGUUGCUGAUACUGGAUGCUGCUAAGAACAUCGCCGGCGGCAAGCUUUAUUCGCCGACCACGGUGUUGGAUGGUCCUUAUAUGGGCAAGGCUAGGUUUCAGUCUUCUUCUUUUAGGAUAGGAAAUGAGUGUUAUGGGUCGUUUCGUAGUGGUAGUUUUAGUCCUGAGAAUAUGGUGGUGCACGGUGGUGGUGGUGGUGGUGCCAUGGUGGUUAGUAGCAAGAGAGUGAAGAGAGAUAAAGGGUUUCUUGGUUCUCGAAGAAAGGAUGUGUUCCCAUCUUUUGGAGAUGAAUAUGGUAGCAGCUUUAACACUCUUUCUCGUUCCAAAUCUCAUUUCUGGGUAAGUUUUUCUCUUUGUUUCCUUUGUACAUAGGUUUAAUUAUGAUUUUAGUCCCUCUGUUAUGCUGAAAUUUGGGUUUAGUCCCCUACUUUAAUUAGCCUAAUUUGUUACUUUGCUUUUACAAUCUAUAUUACAAAUUAAACACUUAAAUGGAUUGGUGUUACGUGUCCAGUUAACGCGUAAAUUAUAUUGUUUUGAAAGUAAUUUUGUCAUUUUAUAUAUUUUAUAUCAAAAAAUAUACCAUUAUAAUUUUCUAUAUUUGGAAUUUAACAUUCUAACCAAAAUAUUAUUUGUAAUUUAUAUUAAUAUUUUAUAAACAUAUUUUUAUUUAAAAAAAAACAAAUUUAAGUUUUUGAUUGAUUGAAUAUGCACGUAGCUCUGAAUACCUGAACGUCUGAUCCAUGUCAUUAUUUGAUGAAAGGAACUUACUUUAUCAUCAAUUUCAACCUACUAAAUAGGUAAAUGGAUUAAACCAUAAAACCAGAAAUCGAACACUUUGUUAUUAUGAUAUUUUUUCAUUAUGGUGCAAUUUUUUAAAAGAAUAGUCUUGCUUUAAAGUCACAACUUUAUAGAGAAAUGAACAAUACAUAUAGGGCAAUAAAUUAUCUGUACUGCUAUUUUGCUAUGAUGGGCAGGGUUUGGUUGCCGUAGGAUAGGAAGGACAGGGGUAAAAUUAAGUGUUCCACCGGCAAAUUUUUCUAGAUUUGUAGGCAUGCACCUACCUCAUUUUUGCCUUAUUUAUGGUUAUGGAUUUCAAUUGUGUUUAUUUAUUCAUUUCAGUCCCUGUCCUGGUUUCAAUAAAAAGUUUUUAUUGUUUUGUUUUUAAUUCUUACACUACUACAUCCUAGAAAAGUUGUUUGAUUUGGUGUUUGGACUUGACAGGGAAGUAUCUAUCAAGGCUUAAAGCAAGUGGUUACAUGGAGCAAAAGGGGAAAGAAGGAUAAGUUUAUGGCCUGAUCUUUCUAAUCCAAGGCAAGCCCUAUUUUAUAACAUGAGGUUGAAAUGAACAGAAUUACCUGUGUAGGCUGCAGUAGUGGUCAAAAUAUUAAUCCAUUUAAGCAGCUUGAUAUUUUCCUGUAAAUGAAAGUGACUAAUUAAAUGUAAUAUAUAUCUACUUUUAUUUGGAUGGCUAUGGCUAUGGCUGUAAUGGUAAUCUUUUGCAUGUAUAAAUAUGACUGUCGGCCCAGAUAUCAGAUGGCCACAUUGGAUCCUGAUUAAAUCUGAGGUUCUGUCGAUUCGAGUCAAACCCCUAACCGGCGAUAAGACUCCUAAUGCUUAUUUUCUUCAUUCACUAGACUAAACCGAUGAUUUGCCUAUAACAAGACAUAAUGAGGUAUUGACAAUGAGAGGUUUACCAAUUGAGCAAAUAAAAAGAACAAUGGACUUUAACCAUGAAAAUCAAUAUAUAAGUAACACUCAAAUUCUCAUACUAAACAUGAGGUUGAAAGGCACUUUAGAAAGUUCCUCAAAUUAAAAAAGUUGGACUUAUUUCGUCAGUGAUUACGAGCUACACAUAAAUUUUUGCCUCUUUUCGAUCCAUAAAUCAUAUCAACCCUGUUUUUUCCCAAUCACACCUGAAACCACCUGCAACAAUGGAGCAUUAACCGGGAUUUAGCAUUACCGGGAUUUAGAUAUCCAAAGUUGAAAGAAUUUUGGAGCACAUACGAAAAACAAAUGUAGUUGAUCUAGCUCAUAAGCAUGAUAACUCCGACAAUGCUGAUUCAAACCAGUGUUCUUUUUCCAAAGAGAUGCAUCAAGGACAAGGCACACAUUUCAGAUAUACAGAAGUUUUUAUUAAGCAUCUUAUCCUAUCUGCAUUGAACGAAGCAAGAACUUCUAUAGUGGUUUCAUAUUAUAGUAUCUAUUCCCCCCUUCAAUGAUACCAAUCAAUCCUUAUACCUAGAUGAAAAUGUAUAUAGUUUUGACUAAUAUAAUAGUCACAAAAGGUAACAGGCAUUAAUAGCAACUUUGACAUCCAAGUUCAAAUAAGGAAGAUCUGCAGAAAAAGAACAACUCUCUUUAGUGCAGCUAGAAUGUAAGCGUUAUCGGUUGUAGAAGGAUAUUGAUGACAGCUAAAACUCAUUGUAUUGAAUGCUCUAACUUUCCACCAUUUUCAAAUAUAGUCUUGAAACUGUAUGCAAGGAUUAGAAAUCUGCCAUGUCAAAAGAAAAGAACAAAUACCCCGUUACUAGAAUCUCAAAACUUCUCUCCUAUGACAUGUCUAAACCAAAUUAAUGGGGUUAAGCUAAUCCACAAACAAAAACAACAAAUAAAGCCUGUACAAAAAGAUACGUGCUAUACUUACGUCUCUUAAAGCAGGUUGUGGGACUUGCUUUGAUGAAUCCAUGGAAUCUAAAAUGGGCCUUACAACAGCUGGUAGGAAGAGACCUGCAUAAUUUUCACAAAAGUAUCAAGCAGACAACAAAAGAGAUAAAAAGAAAAGAAAAGGCUCAAUCUUCACAAAAAUGCAGGAAAAAGCCAGAAAAUUCAAACACCAAUCUUUGCGGAAUAUUGUUCUUUCUUCAAGAUAGAUUCAUACAGUCAACAAUUGAAAACACUAUCAUUUCGGAUUCAUAUACUCAUUACCCUAACUGCAAUAAUCGCAUGAGGUCACAAUGUGUUAUCUCAAGACCCGCAUUUUCCCCUACCACUGUUGUUUCGAUUAUUAGACACAAUAUUAACUUGAUCGCAGCGAUUUCAGCCAUAGAAUGUACCAACUUUAUGCAUCACUUCGGAUCUAGAAUCCUUCUUUUUUAAUGACUAAGAUAUCCUUCACGUCUGUUUGAUGGUUCACAACUAAUCCUUUUGGAGUUCAUGGCUACCCCUUUCCCCACAAUGGUACUUUCCCUUGCCACUGCAUUUGUUAAUAGAUCUAGAAUCCUUUGCAUCAUGACAUAUACGUAUAAGUCAUACAAUGGAUGAUAAUUUAUGAAUCGAAUUUCAGAUUAUUCAAAAAGAACAGCACACACAACUUUCAACUAAAAGCGUAGAUGAUUCUGAAUUUCCUAAUAAAGCCAAGUUUCUUCUAAUUCCAAAUUAUACUAAACCCAAACAGCAUACAACUAGGGAUUAAAUUAGCAAUGAUCGAAAAAAAAAAAACUAACCAAAACCAGCGAUGAGGCAAGAGGCAGCUACAACUGGCUCUUGCACUACGAAUAUCUUAAGCUUCUCCAUCACCGCCAUAUCUUAAAUCGAAAAUUUCCGUCUUUUACAACCUUUUCUUCUCGACGAGCCAACUCUCUGUUCUUUGAUGAAAACCCCCAAAAUUGAAAUGGAUGAUCCCACUCUUUAGGAAAUUAGAAAUCAAGAUUAAAAUCAAUAUUGGUGAAUCUCGGGUCGGGUAACUGAGAAAAACAUACCAAAAAAAAAAAAAUUGCCCUUAGCUUUUGCAUUUUUGAAAUUUAGUCUUUUUAUUUUAGUUGAAGUGUAAAAGUCCUCACAUUCUUUUAAAAAAAUAAUUGAGCACUUAUUUUUUUUAGGUUUAAUUAGAUACAUAAACUUUAAAAAUACAUUAAAAAAAGUAAUUAAGCCCAUGAUUUUUCUUUUGCAUUCAAUUGGAUACUUAAACUGUCAUCAAAAAGGUCAUUUGACCGUUAACUUUAACAGUUGACCAUUAAAAUUAACUGUGCUUAAUUUUUUCAGUUAAAGUCACCCCAUAUCACAAUUACGGCGUGACAUGUGACAAAAAAUUAUAAAAAAAUUAAUAAAAGUUAUAAAAAGUAUUAAAUUUUAAUAAAAAUAUAAAAUUAUUAAAAAAUUAUUAAAAUUAGAAAAAAAGAUUUAUAAAAAUUGUAAAAUUUUAUAAAAAUCAUAAAAAAAAUUAUAAAAUGCAACAAAAAGGCUCUUUAACCAUUAACUUUAACUGUCGACCGUUUAAGUUAACGACCCCUAGUUUUUUUUUGUUUUUCAGUUAAAGCUAUAAUGUGUCGUAACACAGCAUGACAUGUGGUAAAAAAAUUAGGGGCGGUUCAAGUACCCAAUUGAGUGAAAAAAAAACAGUGGCUUUAUUUUUUAUUUUUUUAAUUUUGAAAUGUCUUUUUAUACCUUUUGAAAGGUCUUUUUAUACAUUUUGAAAGUUCAAGUAUUCAAUUAAGUGCAAAAAAAAAAGGCUUAAUUUUUUUUUAAGUUUAAGGGCUUUUUACACCCUUAAGCCUUUUAUUGUUAUUUUAAAAGAUUUACUCUUUUUUACUUUUUAGAUUUCCAAAUUCAAAUAUAGUUGAAAUCUUUCUUUUCAAUUUUUUGGUGUGACAUUUUAAAAUGAAAAAAAUAUUUACUUAAUAGUAAUGUAACAAAAAGUGACUCUGAAUUGAACUUGAAUUUAAUAAAAUAAUUUUAAUUUUGUCAACAAUUUGACUUGCAUUUUUAAAUUUAAAAAAUAAAUAGACUAAAUUCUUUGAAAUAAAUCAUAUUAAAACAUAUGUAACUUUUUUUGUGAGUAUUAUGUAAAAAUAAAAAGUUGAGAUAAGGCUGUAAAAUUAUAAUGCAAAUUUCAAGUCCAUUGAACUUCCUAGCCCAAGUAGCUAGCUAGUUGAUUAUAUUGCCAAUUAUUAUAAUUAGGGGUUAAAUCACUUUUAGGACAACUUGGUAAUUAUUUUCACGUUGGAGCUUGAAUUUUUUUUUGUCUAAGUUAGUCCUUAAUAUUUCUUUAAAUAUCCUAAAAUUCGGGCUCAAGUGUAGGAACUAUUUCCAUGUUCAUACCCCAACAUGCAAAAAGUUAUCAAGUUCAUACUAAUAUGGGAACAAUUGGGAAAUUUAAGGACUAACUUAAAUAAAAAAAGUUUAAGCUUCAAUGUGGAAACAAUUGCCUAAUUUAAGCUUCAAUAUAGAAGUAAUGAACUUGGGCGAAAAAAAAUUCCAGUUCCUAAUGUGAAAGUUGUUAUCAAGUUCAAAUUCCAAAUAAUACCUUAAUUAGUAAUGAGUUAGAGUAACAAUAAACAAAGAAUUCAGUGACAAAGAGAGCUCUAAAGUUUUCGUGUAUGUUAAUGUACAUGGCAACAAAUGGGAUUCGAGCUUGCAUUGCCAAUAAAAUUAUUAUUAUUAUUAUUAUUAAAUAAAAUAAAUAGAGAUGAAUGUAUCGUAAUGAAACUAUACAUGUGUAAUAGUAAUAAUAAAUAUAUGUACAUUUGUAAUAUAAUUAUAUAUUUAUUUAUUAUAUAAGUAAAAGAUAUCUAUAUUAUUAUAAUAUAUUAUUAUUCAAUUAAUAAACAAAGGAAUUAAAGUAAAAUAAAUGAAAAAAAUAGUAAAAAGAAAUAAAGAACUGAAUUGGGGGACAAAAACAGAUAAGAAAAGAAGGGAAGAAAGGGAAAGAAAGAAAAUGGGGAAAUUAGGGAUUUUAAAGUUUGAAGUUUAAUUGGUAAGUUAAAUUAAGUUUUUUUCUAGUAAUUUUUGAGUUUUUAUGAUCUUAGAAUAAAAUAUUAUUAAGUAUAUGUUGAAAUUUUAGAAGUUAUUAGAUUUUUAGAUACUCUUUUUGUUGAGUAAAAGUGUGAAUUAGAGAUUGAAUUAAUAGAAUUUCCAAUUAGAAUUGCGAGAAGGAUUAAAUGGUAGAAUUGGCAAUAAAUUUUGUGAAAUAGGGACUAAAUUGCAAGAAAUUCGAAAUUAGGUAUUUAUGAUGAAAAUUAGAGAGUUAAGUUUAAGUUUGGUUGAAAAUUGAAUAUAAAUAAGGUAUGAAUUGGGAUGGAAAAAUAGAUGAUUUUGGUUAAGGAUUAAAUUAGAAUUAAGGUAGAAGUUAAAUAGGAAAUCCAAGUAUUAGAUGUGAAUAAUUGUUGUAUUAAUAAUUGUAAAUUAUUUUAAUUUUCGUAGUUAACAUCGAUCCGGAGACAUCGGCUCAGAAGGGAAAGGAAAAGAUUGCCGGAGAGUAACUCAGGAGAAAUUUUGAUUUGUAUUACUAUAAUUCAAAUUAAUUUAUUAUUAAUUGUGAAUAGUGAUUAAUAUGCAUGGUAAGGGAAAUUAAUGUGAGUAUUGAUAUUGAAUUGAAUGAAAAUGUAUUGAAUUGUAAAAAUGUGUGAAUAUAUGGAUUGAAUAUUAUUGAAAGGUGGAAAAAUGAUUGAAUUGAAAAUGUGAGAAAUUGUGAUUGAAUUGAGGUUAUAUGUGAUUUAAAUUCCCUAUUAACUAGUCGGGCUGAGACAGAUAUAGUUGGCAUGCCAUAGGAUUGGAAGUGUUCAGGGAUACUUCGCCCUCGAGUCUAUGAGACACUGGGUGUCACUAUAUUACUUCGGAUAGAUUUGAUGAGGUAUUGGGUACCAACUUACUUCGGCUUGACCGAUUAGACACUGGGUGUCAAUUAUUUACUUCAAACUAUUCGAUGAGGCACUGAGUGCUAUACUGGAGUGUUUGGUUGGAUCCGUGUAUCCGCCAAAGUCCGAGUCUUGUUAAUAGAGGUAACGAAUGAAAUGGUAAAAUUGAAUGAAAGUAAAUGAUCUUGAUUGAGAAAUGAAAUAAGAAAUUGAAAUUGAGAAAUGAGAAUGAAUGAACGAACCAACCAAAGGUUCAGGGAAUGAUUGAUGAAUCAAUGAAAUGAGAUUAUGAAAAUGCAUAGUAUGAAUCAUUGUUCAUGAAUAGACAAUAGUAUAUUGAUGAAUGAAAUGAGUAAAGAAAAUCUAUUUAGAAUGGCUAUAGUUGUUAUGUAAUAAGUAUAUUUUGUUGAUUUGUAAAUUUUAAUAAGCAUGAUCUGUAUGUUAUAUCAAGUAAUUUGAAUUUUGGUAAUACCACUAAGUAUAUCCAUACUCAGUGUAUGGUUGUUUUCCGUGCGCAGAUUAGUUGAAGUCAAACGUUCCAGUCUAGCAUCCCAAGUCAAUCCCGAUCUCAAAAAACUUUGGCGAUAUAUAUUUCUUUUGAUAAAAGUGGUAUGUACCUAGGUUAUGUAUAAGCCAUUUUGGAAUUGGUAGUGAAUGAUGUGUUUGAAUGGUUAUGUGAAAUGAUAAGAAUAUGAAAUGGUACUUUUGAUAUAAAGUUUAAAAAUGGAAAUUAAUGAAAUUAACUAAAUUAGUUUGAAUAUUAUAUGUAAAAUUCUUAUGAUUAUACCUUGAGUAAAUUAAUAGAUUGAUGUUUUGAUAUGAUUCAAAUGUAAUUGUAUAUAAAAUUGUAUUGGUUGUGAUAUUGGUUUGAAUUGGGUACGUUUUAAGUUUGCAGGGUUGGCUAGAUGAUUAAAAAGGGGUUAUAUUGAGCCCACACGACCUAAUCCACACAGGUGUGUGAGCCCUGUAUUUGAGAAAGAUUUUGGAAUUUCACGAAAAAUUUGUUGAGUACUCGAAUUGGUUCUGAAUCACUUCUGACAUGUAUUUUGGGCCUCGAGGGUCCUUAAAAUGGACAUCAUGAAUGUUUUACAAUUUGUAUGUUAUUUGUUUGUAUAAUGUUCGUAAUGUAUCUGAAAGGUUCAGUAAUGCUUCGUAACCCUAUUUUGGUAAUGGGUUAGGGUUAGAGAGUGUUACAUUUUUUGUCUCACUUUUUUAAUUAAUUUAAUUGUUUGCUAGUUUUAAUUGAGUGAUUAUGAUAUUUCAUAAAUCAUUGGUUAUAACUGAAUGAUUACAAUAUGUCAUACAAUCGAUUAAAUUCAUAACUAUCAAAUAAUAAUAAUUGGGUUAAAUGAAUUAGUCCAUAUAGAUAUUAAAAUGGUCAAUUUAUUAUUCUAUUAUCACUAUUCUAUUUCUUUAAACAUAGAUUUUUUUUCAUUCAGUUUGAUUUGAAUAAAACAAGUUUCAUGUGCAAAAAUCGAACCCAAACCGAAUUGUGUGGUUUGGGUGAAAACAUCAACUAGGUGUGAGAUUAGUUCGGUUUGGUUUUUUGAACCGAAUCAAGAUAUAUGGUUUUUUUUCAUUUUUCGAAUCGAAACUGAAUAGGUGGACAUAAGAAACCAAUUAUUACUGAACUAAAUUAGUUUGGUUUGAGUUUCCAUAUUGUUUUUGGGCUUUGAGUUUUUGAACUUUAUUUACACAAAAUAUAUGUGAGAGAUUGAUACUAAAAUUAGAUUUAGGGUUUAUUUUUUUAUUUUUAAUUUAAUUAUAAAAUAUGUAAAAGUAAAGCUGAACAAAAAAAUUGAGAAACCAAGCCGAACUGACAAUUCAAUUUGGUUCAGUUUUGGUUUAUUAUAUUCAACAUCGAAAAGUCCAAAAAAAUGUUUAAAAAAAAACCAAUAUUUUUUUUUGUACAUAUAAGCCCAAUAUAUAUCCAUUUAAAACCCAACAAAAAAAGGAAAACCAUUGCUUCUAAAUUUUAAAUAUAACUUUUAUUAUAUUUUUACAUAUUUUAUAAUUAAAUAAAAAAAUAAAACUUAACUCUAAUUUCAUAAAUUCAUUGCUUAUUUAUUAUUAUUAUUAUUAUUAUUAUUAAAACUUUCCAGAAUUAAAGUGUUUAUAUCUUUUUUUUUACAUAUUAUGUACUGUGUUCUUUUUUCUAUUAUUAUUGUUGUUAAAACUUCUAAAAUUUCGGUUAUCAUUAUUAACAUUUUCAAGUUGGGUUUUUUUUUUGUUGCCAAUAAAUAAUUUAACAUUUGAUUAUGUUCAGUUAAAAUUGAAAGUGAUUAAAUCAAGCUUUAAUUAGAUUUUUAAUAAAAAAUAAUAAUUAUAGAUUUUACAAUUUAUUUUUUUAGAUAAAUACAUUAAUUGAGAUUUGAUGUAUAAUUGAAAAAAAAAAUUAAAUUGUCAAAAAGUGUCUAAGAAACAUAAAACAAAGAUAAUUUUAUCUAAUUAAAAAUGAAAAGUUCAUAUCUAAAGACAAUUUUGUUUAAAUAAAACCCAAAAUCUAAAAGUCCAAAAACAAUAUGGAGACCUGAACUGAACCGAUUUAGCACGGUUCGGUAAUAACCGGUUUCUUAUGUCUACGGUUCAGUUUCGGUUCAGAAAAUAGAAUAACCAAAUAUCCUGAUUAUGUUCAAAAAAAAAAUAAAAACAAAAUCAAUCCAAACCAAUAUCACCCUUAUGUAAAAGCUUAAUCAAAGUUAUAUUUGGAAAUUUGAAGUAAUGGGUUUUAUUUUGGGUUUUAAAUGACUUUAUAUAUUGGGCUUAUAUGUUUAAAAAAUAUUGGCUUUUUUUUUCUUGAAAAUUUUAAAUGUUCUUUUUGGACUUUUUGGAACCUAAUGGAAUAAAUUGAAUCCAAACGAAAUUGAUGGUUCGAUAACAUCAUUUAACCGAAACCAAAUUAUAAAAAAACUCAAAUUGAACCAAACUGAAUUAUCGGUUUGACUUGAUUUCUCAAUUUAAUCAAUUUUUUUACUCAACCUUAAUAUCAAUCCGAAAUCGAAUUGAAUAAUACAAACUUGAACCAAAUACAUAGACUCAAAUCGAUUUUUCAAUUUUCUCCAUUUCUUAACCCUAUUCUUAGUCAUUGAAGAUUGUACAAAAAAUAUUCCAGGAUUAAUGUCAACUAUAGAUUUGAUAUAAAAAAAAUCUUUUGCUCCCACCACCAAAAUGAAAAUUGAUCAAUAUAGUCCCUUUAAUUUUUAUAAAUCAUAAAUUAAUAUAAUAAUAAAAUUUCACAUUUUUAACUCCUAAAAAGUAUUUAUUCAUUUCAGAAAAAUUAAAGCUGCUGCUCAAUCAGAGGCAGAACGUAAAAUGCGCAUCCGAGGAAUCGAACCCCGGUCAGUACCGUGGGAGGGUACUAUGAUACCACUACACUAAAUGCGCUCUGUUUGGCAUAAACUAUUACCUUUUCCUAUUUAUAUCUGAAAUGUAAUAAUUAAAAUAGAUGUAUUAUAAAAUACAUAUUAAAAUAAAAUUUUGAAAUAAUGAAAAUAUAAAUAUACUAUGUCUUUUGAUUUAACUAAAAGAAUCAGUCAUUCAAAAUGUGAUAAAAAUAUAAAAAAAAAUGUAAUCUUACGUAAGGAUGAUGUUAUAUACAACUUACUAUAUAUAUUUAAAAUUUGACACUACUAAUAAUAUCAUAUUACCGGCUCAAAGUAUUCUAAACAUAGGAAUGUGGUUAUGGAAUGUAAGAUUACGAGAGAAAUCUUAUGUUUUAUGAACCAAACCUCCUCAGGGUAUAACUUGAAUUUUUAUUUGAUACUAUAUAAUUUCAUGUAUUAUUAAUAAACCAAAUGAUAACGUAUAAAACGAAGGUAAAUAAAUACUUAAAAAUGUUAAAUGAUGUAUCAUUAUCUAUUUACUAUUUAGAAUCUAUCCGGAAGCAUGCAUGUCCGUAUGAAAUUAAAUGUUGAGAUUAUGUCUACAUGAAACUAAUUGUUGAGAUAAACCAUAAGUGGGGAAGAGAUUUGUUUAGGGGAGGUGACUUUUUGAGCCGGUCUUGGAACAGGAGAAUUGUAACCGAGAUAUUGUGUUUUUGGGUGUUUAUAUAUAAUUUUAAUUUUGAUUUUUGUCUCUUUAUUUUAAAUAGAGUUUAAAAGAGUUUACGGAGUUUAGUGAGAGUGUCUAAUUUAUCAAGGAAAUGCAUUUUAAUAUUUUUUACAUUGAUAUACCUUUAAAAGAUUUUAGUGAGUAAAAAUAUUACCACAUAUCUUAAAGGGUUUUGGUGAGUUAAACCCUCCCGUCAAACUCUAUAAACCUCUUUAAAUUCUAUUCAGAAUCAAGAGAGAAAAACCUUAAACUAAAAUUUGAGUAUAAAUACUCCAUCAACAAGAUUAAAUAAUAUAAAUCCUAUUGAUUGUACUUAAUUUGUCAAAAAGGAGAAAAAAGAAAAAGCUUGAAAAAGCAGCAGUCAGAGCUGAGUUGACCCUUUGGGGUUUGAGUUAAGAAAAAGCAAGAAAAGGAACUGUCGAAAAGAAACCAGAAACUUUAGAAGCAAAGGUGCCAAGGGACAGAAUCACACACGCAUGGGCAGGUAGCGUGACAUUGAAGUUACAACAUCAUGCAUGUCUGCAUGCAUGCAUGCCCUUGCUUUGUGCUAUAUCCAUGCGACAUAAUCAUCUUAUUUUACCCUUCCAACAUACCCUAGUUCUUUUUUUGUUUCAUUGAAACCUCUCAGCACUACUCUCUCAUUGUUUUGUGUUGAAAAAAUGUUUUAUUUGCCUAUUGUGUUAUAUAUAUAUAUGUAUACUUAUGAACUUAUUAAUUUUAGGUUAAUGCUUAAUAUAAUUUUGUUUUUUUGUAUUCCGAGUGACUAUAAUUAGGGGUAUUCAAACGGUUAAUCGAACUGAACUAGUAUUAUCGAAUUGAUCGAACUUUUUAAUCUUUUAAUUGUUAACCGAACCGAAAUAUUUCAGUUAAUUCGGUUGGUUAAUUGAAUUAACCAAAAUUUAUAUCUUUUGCUUUUUCUUGUUAAAACAAAUAUAAAACAUAUAAAAAAAUUGAUAAUGUUUAUUUGAUUAAAUUAUUCGAAUUAGUAAUAGCCUAAAACAUAUAAUAUAUAAUAUUAUUUAUAAAGUUUGGUUAAUUACUCAAUUUUAAAUCGAAUUAACCGUUAACUAAAAUUUUAAAAAACUUUAACCAAUUCUGACUGAACUAGAUCAGUUAACAGAAUUAGAUCGACUCAAUCAAUUAAUUCAAUUUUAAUCGAAAUUUGAAAACCCCUGUAGCAAUGUAUUUAUUAUCAAUUUUGAAUUUAUAAUGUGAUAAGUUGUUUUUGGUCCUCAUCUAAAUGUGGUGACCAAUUUUAGACUCAUCUUAUCUUAUAUUGGUCAAAUCAUGAUUCUUAGUGAUCUUUAUAUAUAUAUACACAUUAAAUAGUUGCAGAGUUUGGAACUAUGCGGCUCAGAAAAAUUUUGAAAAUUUUUAGGAGUUUAAUAAUUUUAAAAAAAAAAUUAAUGUCUAAUUAAAAUUUUUAUAAGAUUAAUGGAACUUUUCAAAAAUUUUAAGAGGGUUUAAUUAAAAAUUUUCACAAAAAAUUUAAAAAAUAAUAAGAUUUUUUUAAAAAAAAUUUCGCUCAACAAUACGGGAGAUCAAAUGAUGAAAAUAUUUUUUUUCCAUUCAACAACAUGAGAGAUCAAACGAUGGAAAUAUUAGGUUCCAUUCAUGGAAGCUGAAAAUGAUGGGUCAUAACAUAAUUAAACCCGUAAAAAGAAAAAUCAUAUCUAAUAAACUCUCAUUUAAAAUUUUACUCGAAUCAACUUCGAAUUUAAAUUAAAACAAAAGAUGGUUUUACUAAUAUACUGAAAGAGAUGCAUAAAAAGAAGAGUUAAUCAAUUGGGAUUUUAGAAAAAAACAGCUUUAGAAGUUUAUAUUUGCAGAGUGGCCCUUAUUGUUCAUAGCUGUAUAAGGUGGCAUAGGAAGGGAGUAUUUCAACCCAACAUUGCUUAUGAUUGAGCAAAAAAAAGGCAGUUGUCUAUGAAAAGCACUACAAAUUGAACCCAUCCAUUUGCUCUCUAUUUCUUGCUUUUAUUUUUAACUCAAAUCCUUAUUCAUGUGCUGGACAUUGAUCAAGUGUAAGGGUGGAUUCUUUCUUUUAUUUUAUUUUUUCAGCUUUACGCGACAUUAUUAAGAUAACGUAUUAGUGAGUGUAAUGCUAAUAUAAUUUGUUUAUACUAAAUUUCACAUAGGAUAAAAUGGAUCUUCAAAUACUUAAACCUCAUUGAAUCUUAUCGCUAUAAUCUUAACCAUAUGAUCAGUAACUAUAUUGUGAGUUCUUGGGAGACUUGGACUCUCCCUUUUUUACUCAUUAUAUAUACAUUAAUACACAUAAAACAUUGAUGAAGGUAUGUAUUUGUAUUGCAUGAAUAAUUAAGAUUUGAUGUGUUAAAAAUAAUAAAUUUAUUUCAAUAAUGUCAGAUUUAAGAUGUAUAUGUAAUAUGUAUACUCUUGUUUACAAUUUAAUCCACGUGUUUUAAAUAUAGUUGACCCUCUCUAUAACAGUCACACGCUAUAAUAGCAUUUCGCUAUAUUAGCAACAUUCAUAGUUAUAAAGUACAUUCUUUAUUAAAUUAGUUAUUCAUAACAACAUAUUGUCUAAAUUUUUAAGUAUAUUAUAGUUAUUUCAUAUAAGCAAGUCUAUUAAUUAUCAUUUAUUAAAUGAAAAUUAUCUUAAUUAAAAUAUUAUUUCAAUAAAAUGAUUAAAAUUCACGUGAAGAAAUCUAUUAAUUAUAUUUUAUUAAAUGAAAAUAAUCUUCAAUGAAUGGAAUUAAAGAUGUCAGUUUAAUAAACUAUUAACUUCCCUAAUUAAAUUUUUUUACUAUGAAUUUGGAAUAUCAUAAACUUAUAAAUUGAUUAUUUGAAUUUAGUAACUCGUGAAAAAUUAAUUAAUUAAUUUUGAUAGCUCAUUGAUUAAUUGAACUUGUUAGAUUUAUAAACUUUAUAAUUAAUCAUGUGAAAUUCACGAUAAAAAUUCUAUGGCGAUCUUACAAUGAUUAUCUCAUUAUAACAGAUAGGUGUAUGACAAACACCUUUUUAUAACAGGCAAAAUCUGGAUAGAUAAAUGGGCUAUUAUAAAGAGACUUGGUUGUAUAUUCCACAUAAGAUUUAUGCUUACACUUAAUACUCAAGCUAAUGAUUAGGUUGAUAGAAUGACUUAAUUAGUGCAACUGCAAUAAUGAUACUUUGAGGAUUUAAUUAUAAUGUUAUACAAGAUCAAUUUAGAAUCUAAAAAGAACUCAAGUUUAAACCCUGUAGAUGAUAUUGUUGGGAUGGACAAUCACAAAUCAUGAAAGGAUUAAUCUUUAUAAACCACAAAACAAACAUGAAUGAUUGAUAAGCCAUAAAAGUAACAUAUUUUAAUCCUAUUCUUGAUGCAUUUUUGGAUUUUUAUUAUUUAAUUUAGUGAAUUUGAUGCUCCUAAUCCUUUAAUUUCAUGUUUCUAUACUUAGGAGAGCAUAGGGGAGCAAAAAGAGAAGAAAAUGGGCCAAAAUCGGACAAAACAAGCUAUUUUAAGGAUCCACACGGCCAAGCCAUUCUCACACGGGCUAAGCACAAGCCCGUGUAAGCCACACGGGCUGGCCACACUCCCAUGUGUCAGCCCGUGUCGAUAUCGUUCCCUGUUUUCCAAGCAUGCGAAAAAAUCCAAUUUUUAGGGUUUUUGAGCAUUCCAAAGUCUAUAAAUGCACACUAGAAGAAGAUCUAAGGGAGGACGUAGAGUAGAAUGAAGAAAUUACUCGAAAAAAACCAUCGGAAUCAACUCAAAAGUAGGAUCUCCUUUAAGAUUGAAGAUCUCCAAUCAACUUCUCUAGAAGUUUUUGGGUUUCUUUAUGUUUUGUUGUUUUCCUAAUUUUGAGAUGUUUUCCUACCAAAGUAUGAACUAAAUUCCCUAGAUACCUAAUGAAUAUGAAACCUAUGACGGAUCUUGUUAUUUAAUUUUCUGAAUUACAUGAUAAAUACUUGAUUUCUUGAUCUCAAUUAUGUGUACUUAUUCCAUGUUUAAAUGUUUCCAGGAAAUUAAUUCAUGAUUGAUGUGCUUAAUUCAGUGGAGAAAAAGUCCCUGUUUAAGAGUAGAUCUAGCAUAAUUGAGUGGAGUUGUAUGCAAUCCUAAAAAUAGGACGACAUAAAUCUACCAGAUUAUAGUCAACUCUAAUUGGGGAAUCCAUUGAUCGAUUUAAUGCGACAAUAGGGGUUUUAAUUAGAAAGAGAUUUCAAUUAAUCAAUCUAAAGUCAAUUAUUUUUACUCUCGAAAGAGAUAUUAAUAUAAAUUAGGGAUUUAUACGGAUCAAGGCAAGUAAAUAAAUCGUUUAAUUCAGAUUUAUAAUAAAAAGUGAAGCCUAGGUGGAGUCUUUCCUGGGUAUUGUCUCUCAUAUUGGUUUAUUCGAUUAUUUUCUUACUUUAUUCUCUGUCGAGUUCUUAAUAAUUAGUUUAGAUAAUUUUAUAAUUAAAACAAACUUCUUCAAUUUAUCGGUUAGAUAAUAGAAAGAUAGUAAGUACUAGUGCUUUUAGUCCUCGUAGAUACGAUAUUCCUGACUCACCAACUAUAGUAUUAUUCGAUAGGUGCGCUUGCCUUUGUCGUGAUUUUAGUUAGUUAAGUGAAUCAUCAUUAAGUUUUUGGCGCCGUUGCCAGGGACUAAAAUAUUUGGAACACUUAAUUUUUAUUACUUUAGCCAUUUUUAUUUUAUUUUUGUUUUUAUUUUAAUUCUUGUUUACUAACUUUUCUUUUUGUUUGCUUCUGGCAGGUUUCUUUAGUAUAUGACUAGAAGAAACUCGUCAAGACCUCUCAUUUUUUACAGUAAAAUUGAAAGUACAGUUCACAGAAACCAUAAAAAAGCGAGGCAAAGUCGACAAAGUACAGUGGAAUAACAAGAGGAAAUCAUUGAUAUUACUGAAGAGAUGGUUAAAAAUCAGAAUAAUCAGCUACCUCCUGUAGUUGCCGCAAAUCCUACUUCUCGUAUUAUGUAUAAUUAUGCCAAGCCCAAUUUAACUGGGGCUGAAUCGAGUAUUGUUAGACCUGCUAUUGCUGCAAAUAAUUUUGAACUGAAACCUAACACUAUUCAAAUAAUUCAACAGUUUGUUCAGUUUGAUGGUUUGCAGGGCAAAGACCCAAAUACUCAUUUGGCUAAUUUCCUAGAAUUCUGCGACACUUUUAAGAUAAGUGGCGUUUCUGACGAUGACAUUUGCCUUCGGUUGUUUUCUUUAUCUUUGAGGAAUAAGGCUAAACAGUGAUUGAACUCCCUACCACGAGGUUCUAUCACUACAUGAGAGCAAAUGACCGAAAAUUUUUUGCUGAAAUACUUUCCACCGGCUAAGACAGCUAAGCUGAAGAAUGAUAUCUCUUCCUUUGUGCAAAUGGAUUUAGAGACCCUAUAUGAUGCAUGGGAGAGGUAUAAGGAUUUAUUGAGAAGGUGCCUUCACCAUGGGUUACCUCUAUGGUUACAGGUUCAAACUUUUUACAACAGUUUGAACCCUUCAACUAGGCAAUUGAUUGAUGCAGCCGCCGGUGAGACUUUAAAUAACAAAACACCUGAAGUGCCUUAUGAGUUUAUAGAGGAGAUGUCACUGAAUGAUUAUCAUUGGCAAGUCAUGAGAACAAAGCCGAUGAAAGCAGCCAAUGUUUUUAACGUUAAUGUGGUCACAAUGUUAUCAAAUUAGGUAGAACUUUUGAGUAAAAAGAUUGAUGAUUUAUAUGGUUCUACGCAGGUACAUCCAGUGAUGCAGUGUGAUACAAAUGGAGGAGGGAUGAACAAUUCAGAAUGCCUAUCCUACAGCUCUAGCACAGAGAACGAACAAGUCAACUAUAUGGGUAACAAUUUUAGACCUCAGAAUAAUCCCUAUAGUAACACGUAUAAUACAGGUUGGAGGAACCAUCCAAAUUUCUCGUGGAGCGGUCAAGGAAAUCAAAGAUAACAACCCCCUCUAGGCUUCCAACAAGAAUCUUACCCUCAAGAGAAGAAGCUGAACCUUAAGGGGAUGUUGACAAAAUUUAUUUCGGUGUCAGAAACUCGCUUUAAAAACACUGAAACAACACUAAAAAAUCAACAAGCAUCAAUUCAAGGGCUUGAGAAUCAAAUUGGUCAAUUGGCAAAGAUGAUUUUAAAACGACUACAAGGUAGCUUGCCAAGAAACACCGAAACUAACCCAAAAGAGCAGCUUCAUGCAAUCACUGUUUGAGAUGAAGAAGGGUUAGCUGAAUUUGAAUCUGAAUCGAGGUAAGAAAUUGUGGUAAGCAAUAGUAAGGUUGAGGUAAGCCACAACGAACGAAAACCAAUAAGUGAGGAGUAUAAACCUUGUAUACCAUAUCCCAACCCGACAAAGAAAGGCCACACAAAUGAACAAUUCGAUAAAUUCUUUAAACUGUUGAAAAGUUACAUAUUAACUUACCGUUUAUUGAAGCUUUUUCGCAGAUGCCAAAUUCCGUAAAAUUUUUAAAGGAGCUUUUAGUAAACAAGUGGAAGUUAGAUGAUUCGUCACACAUAGAGCUAAAUGUAGUUUGCUCAACUAUCUUACAGAAUAAACUACCCAACAAAUUGAAAGAUCCAUGGAGUUUUACUAUUCCUUACUUAAUUGGUAGUUUAAGUGUUAAUAAUGCUUUAGUUGAUUUAGAGGCGAGUAAAAAUGUCAUGCCCUAUAAAAUGUUUAAACAACUAGGUCUUGGGAAACCCAAACAAACUAGGAUGAGCAUUCAAUUGGCAGAUAGAACUAUUAGAUUUCCUAGGGGUAUUAUUGAAGACGUUCCAGUUAAAAUUGAUAAAUUCAUGUUCCUAGUUGAUUUUGUUGUUUUAGACAUGGAUGAGGAUAAUGAUACACCCUUAAUUUUAGGACGGCCUUUUUUAACAACUGCCAAAACGAUUAUUGAUGUUGGUACAGGUGAACUCAUACUUCGUGUAGGUGAUGACACGAUUAAACUCCAAUAUUGUAAUUCUGCUAAGAUAUCUAGUGAUCGAGUUGAUUAUACAAAUUCUGUUAAUACAAGUAACCCUGUGGCUCAACACUCUUUGCAAGAAACUCCGCAAAAAAAUGCGAUAGAGCCACGAUCUAUUUCAUGUGAUAAACUAGAACAAUUCAUAAAGAACGAAUGCUACAAAUCGAUCAACUAGAUAAAUGGCGGUCAUAUGUCAAGGAGAAACAGAGAAUACACGAUGAAAAACUAAAAUGACUCCAUGACGAACUUAAGGAUAGAACGAACCACUUCGUGGUUGGGGACCAGGUACUGUUAGAUGAGACUGACCCUCAAAUAACCACUUUAGAGCUCAACGCAAACGGAGCAACUCCUUUUACGGUACUCAAUGUCUUCCUAUACGGUACAGUCGAGGUAACUCAUUCUAAUUUUGACACUUUUAAGGUAAAUGUUACUCUACUUAAACCUUAUCUGAAUAAAAGAAUUGACAGCAAGAAAGAGGAGUUUCGACUUCGCGAACCACUAUGACCGUGCGAAUACGAGGUAAGUGAGCUUAAACUUUAAAUAAGUGCUUCUCGGGAGGCAAUCCGAGCGUUAACAUUCCUUAAUUUACUAAUUUUAUCUCAUGAUAUUUUUAAAAAUUAAAUACUAUAAAAAAAUAGUUUUUAAAACCCACACGGCCUGGACGUACGGGCGUGUCCUAGGCCGUGUGGAUCUUUUUGACUUAGUUUUAAAUUUUGAAAAAAUAUCGACAGUGAGUUAUACGGCCGUCUGGAGCCUGGGACUUAAUUUUCCCAAAAAUCAACAGAGACACGGGCUAAAAUAGUUCACACGGCCUGGACACACAGGCGUGUCCUAGGCCGUGUGAAACCUGGAGCUUAAUUUUUCAAAUUUAAAACAAGUCAGAGAGUUACAUGAGUAAGACACACGACCGUAUAUGAGACACGGCUGUGCCACACAGGCGUGUGGGAAGUUACACGGGCGUGGGAGAAGCGAAAGAGAUUGCACACGGCUUGGACACAUGGGCGUGUCCGAGGCCGUAUGAAAACUAGGCUAUUUUAUUAAUCGCACACAGGCUGAAUAGGAGACCACACAAGCGUGUGACAGAGCCGUAGGGGCCCAACAUGGGCCUCACAUGACCGUGUCACCCUUUUAAAUCCCUAAUUCCUUUUCAAUUUUUACUUUUUUUUCUUCUUCUCAAAUUUCCCAACCCUAGCCGCCACAACACCCCAUGGCCCCACCGACCAACCACCAUCCACACCCCAUGCACUUUCUGUCGCCCCACCCUCGACACACCUUCUUUUCCUUGAUCCACCAUCAACCCAACUAAAACCCCCAUUUCGACCUAUUCCCUUCUAUCUUAUCUUUUGNNNNNNNNNNNNNNNNNNNNNNNNNNNNNNNNNNNNNNNNNNNNNNNNNNNNNNNNNNNNNNNNNNNNNNNNNNNNNNNNNNNNNNNNNNNNNNNNNNNNNNNNNNNNNNNNNNNNNNNNNNNNNNNNNNNNNNNNNNNNNNNNNNNNNNNNNNNNNNNNNNNNNNNNNNNNNNNNNNNNNNNNNNNNNNNNNNNNNNNNNNNNNNNNNNNNNNNNNNNNNNNNNNNNNNNNNNNNNNNNNNNNNNNNNNNNNNNNNNNNNNNNNNNNNNNNNNNNNNNNNNNNNNNNNNNNNNNNNNNNNNNNNNNNNNNNNNNNNNNNNNNNNNNNNNNNNNNNNNNNNNNNNNNNNNNNNNNNNNNNNNNNNNNNNNNNNNNNNNNNNNNNNNNNNNNNNNNNNNNNNNNNNNNNNNNNNNNNNNNNNNNNNNNNNNNNNNNNNNNNNNNNNNNNNNNNNNNNNNNNNNNNNNNNNNNNNNNNNNNNNNNNNNNNNNNNNNNNNNNNAUUGAUUUAUUUGUACAUAUACAAAUAUAAGCAAAUAUAAACAAUCAAAACACUUUAAUGUUAAUAGUAUAAAAACUUAUCAAUCUUGUAACUGAAAUCGGGUCAAUAAUGUUGUAGGCCAAUUUAACCCAUUUACAUCAAAACCCAAUUUAACCUUACCUAACCCACCAAAAUUAAACCCAAAACCCAAAAUCUUAACUACCCAAAGCCCAAUUUACAUCAAAACCCCAAUGGCCCAAACCCUAAGCCCAAAUCAAAAUAAAAAAACCUAGCCCACAACCUAAACUUUCUCAACUAAAUCCUAGCCUUUGCCACCACCAACUCCACUAGCCACACUUGCUCCACCCCUCCACUAGCCACACUUGCUCCACCACCUACUCCAUUAGCCACACUUGCUCCACCACCACUUGUACCUACAAAUGAAGACAUAAACAAUAAAAAAUAUUUUGUAAAUGGCUAUAUAAGCCUUCUCAUUUUGUAUUUAGGAGGAAGAAGUUUUGGGGGAGAAAGUUAUUGUAAAGGAUUUUUGAGAGGUUUUUUGAGUAAUCAAGGAGAAGAGUUAUUGUAAAGGCUAGUUUUUGGAGAGGCUAGUUUUUUUUGGAGAUUAAUCAAAUAUCAAGCAAAAGAGGUUUCUUGGUCUAUUCUCGUUUUAAGUUCUUUGUUUGCUUAUUGUUUUCCUUUCAGUUUUAUUUUGUUUCUUUUAUACGAAAGUAAAAAUAAAAGGAGGAAGCUUUCCCAUUUUUACCGAAAAAUUUUUUUGAGGUCCGGGCUGCCGGUGGCACCGAUGGCCGCGGCGGUCCGGUGACCGGACGGUGGCCGGCCUUGGGCCGGAAAUCACCCACUCUCUCCCUCUUUUUGUUAUUAUUAUAUUUUUUAAUAUUAUAUUAUAUAUAUCUUUUAAUAUAUUAGGUAUAUUCUAAACUAUAUAUAUUAUACUAUUUAUGUAUAUUUUAAUACUAUUUAUUUAUAUAUAUUUUUCUACAUGUUAUCUUAUGUAUAUUUUAAUUAUAUUAUGUAUGUAUUUUUACACUAUAUUAUGUACAUAUUUUUUUUAUAUCUAUUUUAUACAUAUGUAUAUAUUAUAUAUAUCUUAACAUUACUAGUUAUAUUUUCACUAUUUUAUGUAUAUACUUCAACACUAUAUAUAGUAUAUUUCUAACACUAUUACUAUUUAUAAUAUAUAUAUAUUUUACGUACAUACUCUUAAUAUCUUUAUUAUGUAUAUAUUCGUUGUUUUAUUUCACAUUGGAUACUAUUAUUACGUUUAAUAUAUCGCAUGCAUUGUUAUUGUUUUAAUAUUGUUGUCAUAUUUAUUAUUUGUUUCAAUGUAUUUCCAACUCGUUUUAUUUUUGUCUCCCGCCUAUUUUAUAUCAUUCUGUUGUUCAUUAUUUUAAAGAUUUUUAUUCAUUUUUUUACUAAUUUCAAUAAAUAAGGCAAUGUUUCACAUUUUGGAACAUCAAAGAAUUGUGCCCUAACUUACAGGGUUUCGAUUCUCUUGUUGGUUCUAAAUAGCUAAAUAUCCUUUUGAGUUUUGAAAUGCACAGAUUUUCCAAUUUAAAUUAAAAGACGACCUUGUGCUCGGGAAUUCAUGUAUUGUGUCCUAACUUACGGGAUGUGAUACUCCAAUAUUUCGAGAUAAGGAAAUCUUUAAACAAAUCGAUUUAAGCUAAUUCAAGAAUUUUUAAAAUCAGUAUUAAUAGAAAAGAUCGUAUUUCAGUCCCUUCCCGAUUUUUAAUUUUCGACAUUAAGACACUAACUAAUCAAUUCGGUACCAAUUUUUUGGGCGUGUCGAGGGUGCUAAUUCUUCCUUGCACGUAACCGACUCUCGAACUCAUUCUCUCAAGUUUCGUAGACCAAAGGCCCUGUUUUAGUAAACUAAAAUUGAUUUAUUAAAACAAAGGUGAUCCGAUCACACCUGAUAAAAGAUUGGUGGCGACUCCCGUUUUAAUUUUCACUUUCAAACAAAGUCGAUCCCCAUUUUCAAAAGAAUGGUUUCGACAGCUUGGCGACUCCACUGGGGACCUCGAGAGUCGAGCCUUAAAUUGAUUAUUUUUUGUCUUUUGUCAAAAUCAAAAAUCGAUUUAAAUUUAUUGCAUUGCAUGUUGUUUGUUAUUUUCGCGACUUCUUCAUAAUAUGCUUGCUUUAAGUGGUUUAAUUCUUUGAAGUAUCUUUGCAUAUCGCAUCGCAUUAUUGGUCAAUUUCACCCUCUUAAGUGGAAGUGAAAAACUACUCAUUCGUGAGGUCUUCACCUCCGUAUAGGAUAGUGGAUCACUUUCGGGAUACAUCCGUACCUGCGUCUUCGUGAGGUUUUCACCUCUGUAUAGCCGUAGGGAAAUGUAUUCCCCUGAAUCGAACUCGGUCUGUAUGAACCUAUAAGGGGUGAGGAUCGAGGAAUCUUCUGGUUCAGGUACCUUUACUUUAGAACCAAACUACAUGUAAUGAGCCCUAGGAGCCUACCCUAGGUAGAACCACACCAAACCCUAGUGGUUACCUGAUUAGGUGCUUAUUUACUCACUAUUUGCUUCGAAUUCUAUUCUUUGUAUAUAAUACUAACUUGUUGUAUUUUGAUCAUUGUCGCAUGACAUUUCUUCAUAAAAGGGUGUUGAUUUACGUUCGGUUACUAAUUAGAAGAGUUUAGCAUAGAAAAAGGAUUUCUUGAUAGAAUGGAGGAUAAUGCGGCCGUCCGAGUUUGGUCUGAGAGAACGCAACAGGAGAAAGGAGAUAGUUUGACCGAGAUAUAUGAAUCGGAGUUGUGGGAUUUCACUCGCAUCAGUGUGACUCAGAACGACCUGCAAGAGUUAAGGGAUAUAUGGAAUAGUUGGAAUGGCAAAGUCAAACAACUCUUUUACUGUAACUACGGUGACCUACCCUAUUUACUCGAUGUAAAUAUGGACAAGUACUUGUUCCGGGCCCUCGUGCAAUUUUGGAACCCCGCUUACAGUUGCUUCACUUUUGGAGAAGUUGAUUUAGUACCUACGGUGGAGGAAUACAUGGCGUUACUUAAUUGCCCGAAGAUUCAGGCCGAUAGGGCCUAUUCAAGACCUGUUAAUGUCCCUCCCUUUUUGAAGAAAUUGAUGAAUAUCACGAGGAUGAGCGAGCAAUGGGUUGCGGCUAGCAUCAAGCAAAAAGGGGAUAGUAAAUGUAUUCCUUGGAGGAAUUUGAGGGAUUUUAUUCUUGCGCACCCGGAUUCGAAGAAAAGGGUUGAUGUUUUUGCCUUAAGUCUCUACGGUUUGAUCGUCUUUCCUAAAGCACUUGGACAUGUAGAUGAAGCCGUCUCAAAUUUAUUCGAUCGACUUGAUAAAGGUACCACACCCGUCUCGGCAAUCCUAGCAGAAACUUUUCGAUCCUUGAAUACAUGCCGGAGAGCGGGCGAGGGAAGAUUUAUUGGUUGCGCACAGCUUCUUUUGGCUUGGUUCCAUAGUCAUUUUUGGAAGGUGGAGAAGGUCUCACAUCGGGUAUUCUCUAAGGAUUAUUCCCUAUUAAGAAAAUUAGUGGCCACAUCGAGGCAGGACGACAUCUCCGAAGAGAGGUGGAUAACUAUUUUCCAAAAUUUACGGGCCGAAGACGUUGAAUGGAGGGCUCCGUGGUUGAUUCCUGAUGAUAUCUUAUAUAGGUGCGGUGAUUUUGACUAGGUCCCUCUGGCUGGAAUAUGGGGAGCCAUUGGAUACGCUCCACUGAUGGUUUUAAGGCAGUAUCGAUCAAGGCAGUUUAUACCGGUGACACAAGGGUUGGCACAAUGUUUGUUCCCCUAUAAAGAAAACAAUUAUAAAAAGAGGGUUCGCGAGAUAUCAGAUGCAUGGAACCAAACUCGAACAAUGAAAGGAUUCACUGCAGGCCCGAUAACGACCCCCGAGUAUGAAUGGUGGUGGGGUAGGAGAGUCAACGACAACAUCCCUAGGCAGAAUCAAGGGAACACACAACCGAUAGAGGAGCAUUUACGGGUCAUCCCAUCCGAGUUAGAGAUCAUUAAGCAAGAUUUUGAGAAAAGAAACUCGGAGUUAGGGAAGAAGAUAGAGCAGCUAGAAGAAGAUAAAAUUAAGUUGGGGUUAGAUGUCGAUAUCCACAAGCUUAAGGCCGAGAAGUUAAGGAAAGGAAAGAACAAGGCCGAGAAAGAUUUAGAUAGUCUAAAAACCGAUAACAAGAAGCUUCGUAUAACGAUAAAAACUACCAGAUUAGGUAAAACGUCGGAGCAAUGGCGUCAAGAGAUUAAAAAGGAAAAGACUAGAGCCGACCAUUGGGAGAAAAGAUUUCAAGAUGCUCGAGUACGAGAGGACACUCUGAAGAAGAGUUUGUUAGAAACCCAAAACGAAAAGGAGAAGUUACAAGCUCGGGUGGCUGAAUUGGAAAGAUUACUUCAGCGACAUCGUAGCCAUAAUUCGAUAAUUAAGCUAAAGGCUAGUCUGAGCAGGAUCGAAGAGUUGAAAGGGAAAAUAGAAAAACUUGAGACCGCACUGCGAGAUAUCAAAAUUCGAGUGGAACUUCUUCACACGAACAACAACCAUUACAGAGAACAGCUCACUCUCAAAACCAGAUUAGAGAUAGAGACUAUGUCAUGGGCGAAGCUAUAGCUCAGGUUCGGGAGAUAGCUGAUCACUUGCAAACCUUGGCAGUUCAGGCUGAUAUAUUGAGCUUAAAUUACGAGUCGGAAUCAAACCGAGGCUGAACCUUAGCUUGGCUUCUUAGGAAAGUUAAAACUUUUGGCAUUAGGGCGAAGUCGUAUAUGUAAUCAUCCGUUCUAUGUAAAGAAAAUUUUCUUCUAGUGAAGUUCUUCUAAUGAAAUUGAAUUAGAAUCAACGCCUCUUUUUGCAUUCAUUCAUUGCAUAUACAUAUCCCAUAAUCAUUCGCUAAGGUUAGAAUCAUAUAAUUCGCAGUUGCAACACUUCAAAUCUGGAACCACGCCAUUCGUAUAAAACGCGUCGACAAGUUAGAGCAAUGGAGGCUGAGUUCAAUAAAAGAAUCGAAAGGAUGGAAAGAGUCCAGAAUGAAUUACAAGAACAACUGGCUAAGUCACAGCAAGAAACGAUGGAUUUGAUAGUAAGAUCUCGAGAGGAAUCACUUGAACAAAAGGAUCAAAUGGCUAGAAUGAUGGAGAUGAUAUCAGUUUUUGGUCAAAGAAAAAGGACCCAUGCAGAACCCCGACAGUACGGAACCUCAAUCAAGAAUUAAUCAUAACCAAGAUCCACUCUAUCCCCCAGGAUUCACUCCACCACAUGCCCACGUAGUACAAAGAGGGUAUACUCAAGGGGAAUCCACAGGCUUGGAACAACGACCUAUGCCAUUUUCCCAUCUAGGGCAAGGAACAUUUAUGUCAAAUCCCGGAGCAACCCCUGCUAAUCCUAUAGUUCCAGAUUUAGAUGAUCUAGUCGAAAUAGCCAAGUUGAAAAUAGAUGAUCACGAGGCUCAAGAGAAGUAUAGGAGUUUGGAAGAAAGACUCAAGGCAAUAGAAGGCACUGAAGCCUUCUCGGUACUAGGUGCUAAAGAACUCAGUUUGGUACCUGACCUAAUCCUGCCUCCGAAGUUCAAGGUGCCUGAUUUCGAAAAGUACGAUGGGACAAGAUAUCCAAAAGCACAUCUUGUCAUGUUUUGCCGAAAAAUGACCUAUUACGUGAACGAAGAUAAGCUACUUGUACAUUAUUUUCAAGACAGUCUAAUAGGAUCGGCUCUUCGGUGGUACAACCAACUUAGUAAGGAAAGGAUCCGAUCUUGGAAAGACUUGGCGUCGGCAUUCUGUGAGCAGUACAAGCAUAUAUCAGAUAUGGUGCCUGAUCGGAUGACUUUACAAAUGAUGGAGAAAAAGCCGUCAGAAACUUUUAGACAGUACGCGCAGAGAUAGAGGGACGUCUCAGCCCAAGUGGAACCCCCACUAACGAAAACGGAGAUAACCAUCCUUUUUAUCAACACCUUAAAAACAUUGUUUUAUGACAAGCUAGUGGGAAGUGCCACGAAAGAUUUUGCGGAUAUUGUAAUAUCCAGUGAGCUCAUAGAGAGUACCGUCAAGAGCGGCAGAAUGGAAGGUUUAAAAGGUUCAAAAAGGACAGUGCCUAUGAAGAAGAAAGAACCAGAAGCCCACAUGGUGGGAAUGGAAAGCCGUUAUGCCCCUAAUCUAUAUCCAAACCAACCCCGACCUCGAAGUUAUCCACCUCCAAAUUUCUAGUAUCCCCCUCAAACCCCUUACUACCAAGCACCACCUCUUUCCUACCCCGUAUAUGCCACGAACAACCAAAGACCCGUCACCACAUUCCCACAAAAUACGGUACCCACUCAAAGCUAGCCUAGAAAUGAACCAAGACUAGCAAGGUCUAAUCUCGAGAGACCACAAUUUACUCAUAUCCCUGUGUCGUAUGGGGAAUUGUACCCAAAAAUUUUGGAAAAACAGCUGAUUUCUCCCCAUUACAUGGCACCCCUUAAACCUCCAUACCCAAAGUGGUACGAUCCAAACGCUAGUUGUGCAUACCAUGCAGGGAACCAAGGGCAUUCCACGGAGAAUUUCCUAGCCUUUAAGAGGAGAGUUCAAGGACUCAUUGACGCGGGUUUCCUACGGUUCGAUAGUGCCAGUAACGCAACUGGGAACCCGUUAACUAUGUUGAAGGGAAUGUGAGCACAGUGGGGAAAGAGGACGAAUGGAAAGUCAGAAGAUGUGUUUGCAGAAAAUCUGGGAGGUACUGGUUAAGAAAGGAUUGCUUUGUCACCCCGAUAGAAUUCUCGGAGAAGAAGGUCAAAGUUUUUGCAAUUUUCAUAAAAUUGUAUAACACGACAUUCAGUCGUGUGAGGAAUUUAAAAGGUUACUUCAAGACCGGAUGGAUAAUAAGGAGAUUAAGGUCCUUAACAAGAGGGAAGAGACCAACAAAAGAGAAGUAUGCACCUCUGACAACCAGUCAUCAGGUCUCCUUUAUAGUGUGGAUCGACCUUUAGUAAUUUAUUACGACGCGACGAAAGAGCCGGUGAAACCAAAAAUGAUAAUCGAAGUACCGUUUCCUUUCUCGUACAAUGACGACAAAGCCGUACCAUGGAAAUAUGACAUCAAUAUCGUCACAUCGGAAGAUGAAAAGCUCAAAGCCGUAACUGGAGAUGUUGGAGAGGUAGGUCAUUUUACCCGAAGUGGAAAAUAUUAUUCGAAAGAGGUCGAACCAGUGAAGAAGAACAGUGACUGGAAGCAAAAAGGGAAAACAGUGAUGCAUGAGGCUGAAGUGGAGCAAGAAAUUCCACCAGUGCAAGAAACUAAAAAGCCUGUGGAUGAGAAGGAAGCACAGGAAUUCUUGAAAUUUAUCAAACACAGUGAAUACAAUGUGGUGGAAUAAUUGAAUAAGCAACCAGCACAAAUCUCGGUUUUAUCUCUGCUGCUAAAUUCGGAUCCACACUGGAAUGCUUUGUUGAAGGUGUUGAAUCAAGCUUACGUGGCAAACAAUAUAUCCGUGGAGAAGCUGGACAGAUGGGUGAACAAUUUGAAUGCGGAUAAUUUUAUUUCUUUUAGUGAUGACGAAAUACCACCCAAUGGUAGAGGCUCCGUGAAAGCACUACAUGUUACGACUCAUUACAAGGGCUACAUGAUACCGAAUGUGCUUAUCGAUAAUGGCUCGGCACUCAAUGUCAUGCCUUUGGCCACGCUUUCCAGAAUUUCGAUAGAUCUGUCCUAUUUAAGGCCCUGUCAUUCCACGGUAAGGGCAUUCGAUGGGACAAGGCGUGAAGUUAUGGGAAAUAUUGAUAUCCCUUUAGAAGUGGGCCCUAACAUUUACAUUGUCGAAUUCCAAGUCAUGGACAUCUCACCCUCGUAUAACUGCCUUCUGGGAAGGCCCUUGAUCCAUUCUGCUGGAGCAAUUCCAUCCUCUCUCCAUCAAAAAGUAAAGUUCAUCAUGGAUGGUUGUUUGGUCACUGUCGAGGGAGAAGAAAACAUUAUCGCAUCUAUCUCUCCUGAUGCGCCAUAUCUUGAAGUAAGCAAAGACGUAGUGGAAUGUUCCUUCCGAUCCCUUGAAUUUGUCAAUGCCACUUUUGUCGCUGAGGGAAAUAGAAUUUCGGUGCCAAAACUGUCGAGAAAUACCAGAAUGGGUGUCAAGUUGACUGUAGGAAUGGGAGCUCGAGUGAAAAGAGGUUUAGGGAGAUAUCUGCGAGGAAUUGUCAGGGCUCUAAAGCCAGUACACCACAAGGCUCGAUACAGUUUAGGGUUCCAGCUGGACAUGCGUCAAAGAAGAAAGCAGUGGAAAAAAGAUCAGGAAAGAAGAAUCGCGAGAACAUUAGGCCGAGAACCAGAAUUGGAGCCCAUGAAAUUCCCUUAUUUGUCAAGAACAUUUACGUCUGCGGGAAUGAUAUACCCAGGGCAGUAUAGUGCACAAAGCACAAUGUUAAUGAUCGAAGAAAGUUUUCAGAAUAUCAGUAUAAAUGUCAUUGAAAAAGGAGCUGACGCGAGUAAAGACGUCUCAAAGAUACGCCCUUGUCCCCCGGGUUUCAUGUUGAACAAUUAGACUGCCAAGGAUCUUCUUGUAGUUUAUAAGUCUUCAGAGUAAUGCUCAAACGUUAACAUUCUGUUAUGUCCUUAGAUAUAAUAGAAUUCUUUUGUAAGAGCUUGCAUUCGCUUUUUAUCAUUUAAAUGAAUAUUAAUGAAGAUGCAUUUUGUCAUGAUUUUUCGCAUUAUCACUAAUUCCAUAACCAUUUCAUAGCCUAUCUUUACAUUUGUCUCAUGCCAUACCAUAACAUUCAGUUUGUUGGUCUCAAUACUUGGAUGCCCCUCUAUAGUUUCCUUUUUCGUUCAACUUUCAGGUGCUCAGAUAUCAAUUGCAUGAACAAACCCGUUACAAGUCCUGAAAUCGAUUUUGAGAAAGCUAUUUAUUUAGGAGAAUUCAAAGCCUAAGAAAAUGCUGAAGACUAUGUCUCGUCUCCUGACUUGCUAAGAAUGGUGGAACAAGAGGAUAAACAGAUUUUGCCUCAUCAAGAAUUUGUUGAAACAAUAAACUCAGGAGCUGAAGAAAGGAAGCAAGAAGUGAAGAUUGGGACCUCUAUUUCAGGGGGCACCAGGCAUAAUUCGAUUACUUUGCUCCGUGAGUACAAAGAUGUAUUCGCAUGGUCAUAUCAGGAAAUGCCAGGAUUGGAUGAAGAUGUAGUGGUCCAUAAGCUCCCAUUGAAGCCAGAAUGCAAACCCAUUCAACAAAAGCUAAGACGGAUGAGACUUGAGAUGUUAUUGAAAAUAAAAGAGGAAGUCAAGAAGCAAUUUGAUGCUGGCUUCCUACAAACCUUCAAAUAUCCAGAGUGGGUGGCCAACAUAGUUUCGGUACCAAAGAAAGACAGUAAAGAACGUAUGUGCGUGGAUUAUCGUGACCUGAAUCGAGCAAGUCCCAAAGAUAAUUUUCCCUUACCACACAUUGAUACGUUAGUGGAUAACACAGCAAAACAUUCAUUAUUUUCUUUCAUAGAUGGAUUCUCAGGGUAUAAUCAGAUCAAGAUGGCCCCUGAGGAUAUGGAGAAAACUACCUUCGUAACAAUGUGGGGAACAUUCUGCUACAAGUUGAUGCCAUUUGGGUUAAAGAAUGCUGGGGCAACAUAUCAGAGGGCUAUGGUAACGUUAUUCCAUGACAUGAUGCAUAAAGAAAUAGAGGUUUAUGUCGACGAUAUGAUUGCUAAAUCCCGAGGGAAAGAAGAGCAUAUAGUGAACCUGAAGAAGUUGUUCGACAGACUGAGAAAGUUUCAGCUAAAGCUCAAUCCGGCCAAAUGUACGUUUGGGGCUACCUCAGGAAAAUUGCUUGGCUUCAUUGUCAGCGAGAGAGGCAUUGAAGUUGAUCCAGAUAAAAUAAAAGCCAUCCAAGAGUAACCACCUCCGCGCAUGCAAAAGGAAGUCAGAGGAUUUUUAGGGAGACUAAACUACAUCGCCCGAUUUAUCGCUCAACUUACCAACCAAUGCGACCCAAUCUUUCGACUCCUUCGAAAACGUAAUCCCGGAGAAUGGAACGAGGAGUGCCAAGUGGCUUUUAACAAGAUAAAACAGUAUUUGUCUAGUCCUCCAGUGCUAGUACCACCAAUGCCGGAAAGACCAUUAAUAUUGUAUUUGACUGUGUUCGAGAAUUCAAUGGGUUGUGUACUGGGGCAACAUGACGAGUCCGGAAAGAAAGAAAAGGCGAUCUACUACCUCAGCAAAAAAUUCACUGAAUAUGAGGCAAAGUAUUCGUCCAUAGAAAAAUACUGUUGCACUCUGGUUUGGGUAGCUCGGAGACUCAGGCAAUAUAUGUUGUAUCAUACGACAUGGCUAAUUUCAAAGUUGGACCCAAUAAAGUACAUGAUAGAAUCACCUGCACUCUCAGGAAGAAUGGCACGAUGGCAGAUCUUACUAUCAGAAUAUGAUAUCGUCUAUGUGAGCCAAAAGUUGAUAAAAGGGAACGCAAUAGCUGACUUCUUAGCAACUCGAACAACGGAGGAAUACGAGCCAUUGAGAUUUGAUUUCCCAGAUGAAUACUUGAUGUGCAUUACAAAAAAAGAAUGUGAGUCAUCAAAAGAAAAGUCAUGGAAGAUGAGCUUUGAUGGUGCAUCGAAUGCAUUGGGACAUGGGAUUGGAGUAGUCUUAGUAUCACCAGAAGGAAACCAUUACCCACUCACUGUCAGGCUGAACUUUUUCUGUACCAAUAACAUAGCAGAAUAUGAGGCUUGUAUCAUGGGACUUCGUGCAACAAUUGGACGAAACAUCAAAACUUUAGAGGUAUACGGAGACUCAGCCUUGGUGAUAUACCAAAUCCGUGGAGAUUGGGAAGUGAGAGAUUCGAAACUGGUCAAAUACAGUGAUCUAGUGGCAGAGCUGAUUAAAGAAUUCGAAGAAAUAACUUUUAAUUACCUCCCACGAGAAGAAAACCAAUUGGAUGAUGCCCUGGCCACUUUGGCUUCAAUGUUCAAAGCAAACAAAGAAACAGAAAUAAUGCCUCUUCAAAUGAGCAUAUAUGAAGUCCCUGCACAUUGUUUCAGCAUUGAAAAAAAGCCAGAUGGACGGCCAUGGUUCCAUGAUAUCUUAGAAUAUGUCAAGAACCAAAAGUAUCCCGAACAAGCAAAUGAGAAUGACAAACGAACAAUCAGAAGAAUGGCAGCGAGAUUUUUUCUUGAUGGGAACAUCCUAUACAAAAGAGGAAAAGAUCAAGUGCUCUUGAGAUGCGUAGAUGCUGUUGAAGCCAGAAAAAUACUUGAAGAUGUCCACAAGAGAAUUUGUGGGACACAUGCCAAUGGUUUCACUAUGGCCUGGAAGAUUAUGAGACUCGGUUACUACUGGCUGACGAUGGAAAGCAACUGCAUUAGUUUUGCAAGAAAAUGCCACAAAUGUCAAAUUUAUGGCGAUAACAUUCAUGUAGCCCCUUCACCCCUUCAUGUCAUGACUUCUCCAUGGCCCUUUUCUAUGUGGGGUAUGGAUGUUAUAGGGCCAAUUUCCCCAAAAGCUUCUAAUAGACACCGGUUCAUUUUUUUGGUUAUUGAUUACUUCACAAAAUGAAUAGAAGCUGCUUCGUUUGCCAAUGUGACAAAGACUGCAAUUUGCGGAUUUUUGAAAAAGGAAAUCAUUUGUCGAUAUGGUUUGCCUGAGAGAAUCAUUUCAGAUAACGCAUUGAAUCUGAACAACAAAAUGAUGAAGGAAGUGUGUGAGCAGUUUCAAAUAAAGCAUCAUAACUCGUCACCCUAUCGCCCGAAAAUGAACGGAGCUGUUGAAGCAGCCAACAAGAAUAUUAAGAAGAUUAUUGAGAAAAUGACUGAGACAUAUAAAGAUUGGCACGAUAAGCUACCAUUUGCUUUGUAUGCAUAUCGCACAUCUGUACGGACAUCUACGGGGGCAACUCCUUUCUCUCUGGUCUAUGGAAUAGAAGCUGUGCUACCUAUCGAAGUUGAGAUCCCCUCUUUACGAGUCUUAAUGGAUUCAAAACUAGAGGAGGCAGAAUGGGUUCGAGCUCGAUAUGACCAGUUAAACCUCAUCAAAGAAAAAUGUUUAAAGGCAAUUUGUCAUGGACAGAUGUACCAGAAGAGAAUGAUCGCGGCCCAUGACAAGCAAAUACGGCCAAGAGAAUUCCACGAAGGAGAACUCGUGCUGAGAAAGAUUCUUCUAAUACAGAAGGACUUACGAGGAAAAUGGGCACCAAAUUGGGAAGGACCAUAUAUCGUAAAGAAGGCAUUCUCGGGCGGAGCUUUGAUUCUCACUGAGAUGGAUGGGAAGGAGUUACUGAAUCCAGUGAAUUCAGAUGCUGUGAAGAAAUAUUAUGCUUAAAAAAGGAAAAUCAAGAUGAAAACCCGAAAAAGGGCAUCUUAAAAAAAAGAAAAAAGAAAAAGAGAGAGGGAUCAAGGUGAAAACCCGAAAAGGGCGUCUUGAUUAACACAAAAGAUUAGGAUGAAAACCCUAAAGGGCGUUCUAAUGAAGCAAGCACUGGCUUAAAAAGCAAGGCAUUUUGAACGGUGGGUCAAACAGAGAGACUACAAUAUUUGAAGCAUUUUUGAAAACUCGAAAUCUCUUACGCAAGAAAGCCAUGCUCGAAAAGAUUCUUGAUUGAGGAACGUGGAAGAGUUCAUACGUUGAAUAUCUAGAGCAUUUGUAUUUGUUGAAAUGCGAUCCCCUUUCUCUUUAUGACACUUUUUUUUUACUAUCAUUGAUUAACUUUCUUUGUUUGCUACAUUUGAAAUGAAUAAAUGUGAGUAUCCUUUUGUCCCUACCUAAACAUUUUCAUGCAUCUCAUUAUGUGGUUCAUUUACAUGAUAAAUAGUGAAAUGACAUACUCUAAACAAAAGAAGUGCUAAGCAUUACCCGGAUAAGAAUUUGAUAAGUACAAGAGCCUCAAAGCAAGGACAAAGUUCAACCAGGGGCAAAAAAGUGAUAUCUGAGAAACGCAGAUUAGUCGUGAAGCUAGAGGAUGGGUACAGGGCCUGAAGAGAAAGUCAAGAGUCAAAGCAAUGAACGCAGAUCAUCAAAAAUCAUGACAGAAAGAGACAUAUGACAAGCAAGCCCAAGGCACAUAGCAUGAUCAUGUAGGCAUAAAGGCAUUUAAGGCAAACAUGUGCUUUUCAUGAUAACAUCAUGCAUGACAUAUACAUGUAUUUUAGCAGAACAAGAGAUUUCGAUAAUAGCUGUACUGAAUCAAAGGAAAGGACACCUGAGUUCCACCAGAUGAAAUCUUUUGGUAUUUUGAUGUUUUUAUCUCUAUCUUUCAAAAAAAUCAACUCAUAUUGCGAGAGGUGAGUUGGGCCUCAAGUCACACGCUGAGGUAUUUUCAAUUUUCGUUUUUUCAAUUUAUGCUUUUCAAAAAUCAACUCAUAUUGCGACAGGUGAGCUGAGCCUCGGGGCACGCCGAGGUAUUUUUAAUUUCUGUUUUUCAAUUUCUACUUUUAAUUUCUGUUUUUCAAAAAUCAACUCAUAUUGCGAGAGGUGAGUUGAGCCUCAGGGCACGCUGAGGUAUUUUCAAUUUCUGUUUUUCAAUUUUUUCCUUAACAAAUUCUGCUUUUCAAAUCAACUCAUAUUGCGAGAGGUGAGUUGAGCCUCAGGACACGCUAAGGUAUUUUCAAUUUUCGUUUUUUUUAAUUUAUGUUUCUAAAAAAAUCAACUCAUAUUGCGAGAAGUGAGUUGAGCCUCAGGACACGCUGAGGUAAUUUCAAUUUUUGUUUGUCAAAACUCAACUCAUAUUGCAAGAGGUGAGUUGAGCCUCAAGGUAUUUUCAAUUUCUGUUUUUCAAAAAAAAAUCAACUCAUAUUGCGAUAGGUGAGUUGAGCCUCAGGACACGCUAAGGUAAUUUCAAUUUUUGUUUGUCAAAAAUCAACUCAUAUUGCGAGAGGUGAGUUGAGCCUCAAGACACGUUGAGGUAUUUUCAAUUUCUGUUUUUAAAAAAAAUCAGCUCAUAUUGCGAGAGGUGAGUUGAACCUCAAGACACGUUGAGGUAUUUUCAAUUUCUGUUUUUCAAAAAAAAUCAACUCAUAUUGCGAUAGGUGAGUUGAACCUCAAGACGCUGAGGUAAUUUCAAUUUUUGUUUGUCAAAAAUCAACUCAUAUUGCGAGAGGUAAGUUGAACCUCAAGACACGUUGAGGUAUUUUCAAUUUCUGUCUUUCAAAAAAAAUUAGCUCAUAUUGCGAGAGGUGAGUUGAACCUCAAGAAGCUGAGGUGUUUUCCAUUUCUGUUCUUCAAUUUCUGUGUUUCAAAAAAAUCAGCCCAUAUUGCGAGUGGUGAGUUGAGCCUUGACUCACACGCUGAGGUAUUUUCAAAUUCUGUUUUUCAAAUUUUGUUUUUCCAAAAAAUCAACUCAUAUAACGAGAGGUGAGUUCAGCCUCAGGACACGCUGAGAUAUUUUCAAUUUCUUUUUUUUUUCAAUUUAUGUUUGUCAAAAAAAUCAACUCAUAUUGCGAGAGGUGAGUUGAGCCUCAGGUCACACGCCGAGGUAUUUUCAAUUGAUUUUUUUUUUCAAUUUAUGCUUUGCAAAAAUCAACUCAUAUUACGAAAGGUGAGUUGAGCCUCGGGUCACAUACCGAGGUAUUUUCAAAAUCUGUUUUACAAAUUUUGUUUUAAAAAUCAACUCAUAUUGCGAGAAGUGAGUUGAGCCGUGGCUCACGUGCUGAGCUAUUUUCAAUUUCUGUUUUUAAUGUCUAGUUUUAAAGAGUCAAUUCAUAUUGCGAGAAAUGAGUUAAGCUUAGGAUCACAUGCCGAGUAAAGAAUAAAGAUUGGAAUUAAUCGAAGACACAGAUUUUAUAUCCCUGAAGUUACAGUGAAGCUAAUUGAAGUUGCAGUGGAGCUGAUCGAUGAUAUCAGAUCUUGCCUUUCUAAAAGUUGCAAAAGAGAAGACCACAAAUUUUAUCUGACUAAAGCGAUGGAAGAGCAUAUUGAAGUUGUAGAUCUUAUCUUUUUGAAGUCACCUUGGAGUAAAUCGAAGCUACAAGGCAUAUAUCAGAAGAUGCAGUGGAUUUGAUCAAGACAACAAGAUACAGUGGUUUGGAAAGAGACUACCUGGAUGAGAAGAGCACCAAAGAAGUCCAUACUUAGUAAGACCGGGCAAAAUUGGCCUUUCUUUGUGUCUUUGCUUUAUUCCCGUUACACGAUAAUAAGCAAAGAGGGGCAGCUGUUGUAGGCCAAUUUUAACCCAUUUACAUCAAAACCCAAUUUAACCUUACCUAACCCACCAAAAUUAAACCCAAAACCCAAAAUCUUAACUACCCAAAGCCUAAUUUACAUUAAAACCCUAAUGGCCCAAACCCUAAACCCAAAUCAAAAUAAAAAAACCCUAGCCCACAACCUAAACUUUUCUCAACUAAAUCCUAGCCUUUGCCACCACCAACUCCACUAGCCACACUUGCUUCACCACCUACUCCAUUAGCCACACUUGCUCCACCACCACUUUUACCUACAAAUGAAGACAUAAACAAUAAAAAAUAUUUUGUAAAUGGCUAUACAAGCCUUCUCAUAUUUUGUAUUUAAGGGAGGAAGAAGUUUUGGGGGAGAAAGUGAUGGUAAAGGAUUUUUGAGAGGUUUUUUUUAGAGUAAUCAAGGAGAAGAGUUAUUGUAAAGGCUAGUUUUUGGAGAGGCUAGUUUUUUUUUGGAGAUUAAUCAAAUAUCAAAGCAAAAGAGGUUUCUUGGUCUAUUCUCGUUUUAAGUUCUUUAUUUGCUUAUUGUUUUCCUUUCAGUUUUAUUUUGUUUCUUUUAUACGAAAGUAAAAAUAAAAGGAGGAAGCUUUCCCAUUUUUACCAAAAAAGUUUUUUUUUAGGUCCGGCUGCCGUGUACGGUGGCACCGAUGGUGGCCGGCGGCGGUCCGGUGACCAGACGGUGGCCGGCCUUGUGGCCGGAAAUCACCCACUCUCUCCCUCUCUUUUUUUUGUUAUUAUUAUAUUUCUUAAUAUUAUAUUAUAUAUAUUCUUUUAAUAUAUUAGGUAUAUUCUAAAUUCUAUAUUACGUAUAUAUAUUAUACUAUUUUAUGUAUAUAUCUUUAAUACUAUAUUAUUUAUAUUUUUUUUCUACAUGUUAUCUUAUGUAUAUAUUUUAAUUAUAUUAUGUAUGUAUUUUUUACACUAUAUUAUGUACAUAUUUUUUUAUAUCUAUUUUAUACAUAUGUAUAUAUUAUAUAUAUCUUAACAUUACUAGUUAUAUUUUCACUAUUUUAUAUAUAUACUUCAAACACUAUAUAUAGUAUAUUUCUAACACUAUUACUAUUUAUAAAUAUAUAUAUAUUUUACGUACAUACUCUUAAUAUCUUUAUUAUGUAUAUAUUCGUUGUUUUUAUUUCACAUUGGAUACUAUUAUUACAUUUAAUAUAUCGCAUGCAUUGUUAUUGUUUUAAUAUUGUUGUCAUAUUUAUUAUUUGUUUCAAUGUAUUUCCAACUCGUUUAUUUUUGUCUCCCGCCUAUUUUAUAUCAUUCUGUUGUUCAUUAUUUUAAAGAUUUUUAUUCAUGUUUUUACUAAUUUCAAUAAAUAAGGCAAUGUUUCGCAUUUUGGAACAUCGAAGAAUUGUGCCCUAACUUACGGGGUUUCGAUUCUCUUGUUGGUUCUAAAUAGCUAAAUAUCCUUUUGAGUUUUGAAAUGCACGGAUUUCCAAUUUAAAUUAAAAGACGACCUUGUGCUCGGGAAUUCAUGGUAUUGUGUCCUAACUUACGGGAUGUGAUACUCCAAUAUCUCGAGAUAAGGAAAUCUUUAAACAAUUCGAUUUAAGCUAAUUCAAGAAUUUUAAAAUCAGUAUUAAUAGAAAAGAUCGUAUUUCAAGUCCCUUCCCGAUUUUUAAUUUUCGACAUUAAGACACUAACUAAUCAAUUCGGUACCAAUUUUUUGGGCGUGUCGAGGGUGCUAAUCCUUCUUCGCACGUAACUGACUCUCGAACUCAUUCUCUCAAGUUUCGUAGACCAAAGGCCCUGUUUUAGUAAACUAAAAUUGAUUUCUUAAAACAAAGGUGAUCCGAUCACACCUGAUAAAAGAUUGGUGGCGACUCCUAUUUUAAUUUUCACUUUCAAACAAAGUCGAUCCCCAUUUUUAAAAGAAUGGCUUCAACAUAUAUAAAUAAAUUUAAUCAUCAAUUCUAUGAUUUUUACAUUCAAUGAAGCCCACUUCACAUUUUAGGCAAAAGUACCAUUUUGCCCCUAAACUUUUGAUUAAUUCCAAUUUCGUCCCUAGGCUCGGAAAUUGAAAUUCAUGCAAUUUACUCCUUAUUCCAAGCUUAUUCAAAAUUUCAAUAUAGCUUUUACAGCACAUGUAUUUCAUAAUUUUCAAAAUUUUUCCAAGAAUUUCACUGCUUUGUAAUUUAGUCCCUACACUUAUUUUCACUAAAAAUCACCUUGUAAAAGUGAUUUAUCUAUCAAUAAUAUUUCAUUUUCUAUCAAAAACUUUCAAUUUAAAUCAUAUUCAUCCAUAGAUAAUUUUAUAAACUUUGAUUUUCUUUCAAUUUAAUCACCCAAAUAAAGAAAUUAAGCUUUCCCGAUCUCAAAAAUAUAAAAAACACUAAAAACGGGACAUAGAACUUACCAAAUCAAGCUUGAGAAAUUUCAUUUCUCUCUCCUAGGGUUUCCAUGUAUUUUAUGAAGAAGAAGAAGAUAUAAAAUGGAUUUAAUUCUAUUUAGUCAUUUAUUAUACUUUAUUUAAUUCAAUUUUCAAUUUAGUCCUUAACCUUUUUCAAUUUUUCCAUGGAUGACUUACUAAAAAUAUCUACAUGUUUUUCAUCAAUGGUCUAAUUGUCAUAUAAGGACUUCUCAUUUUUAAUCCUAUAGCUAUCUAAUCCUUAUAACUACUAGAAUUCAACCUUGACAUUUUAUUCAAUUUAGUCCUUUUUGCAAUUAGACACAUAAUUGAUAAAAUUUUUUGAUAAAAAUUUUCAUGCAAUAUUCCUAUCAUAAUACCUAUCAUUUUAUGAAAUUUAAAUAAUUUCAUUUUUUGGACUCGGAUUGUGAUCCCGAACUGAAAUUGAGCAGUUACAUUUUUUAUUCACAUCAAGAAUGAAACUAAAGAAAAAUUUAUACUUUUUUUAUUGAUUUAUUUAUUUUUAAUUAUUUUUUUGCUGUAGAGCUACCACUAGAUUGAAUAUCAGUGUCACACCAACACAAGCUAACAAUGUUAGUGGAGAGGUACCACCAACCAAUGUAGUGUCACACCAACACAAACUAACAAUGUUAGUAGAAAAGUACCACCGACUAAUGUGACAGAAUACAAAUUUAGGUACCAACUAAGUAUUUUUGUACAAGUUUAAAGGAAAAAUUACAUAUUAACCCUGUAGAAGGCCCAUUUCGCCCAGGCCUUUAGAUCUAUUUACAACAAAGGAAUAAACUAAAAAUAAAAACCAAAAUAUAAAUUAUAAACCAAAAAUAAAAAUUAAAAUUGUUUACAGUCCAUAAAUACAAACCUAAAUAUAAAUUGAAGCCCAAAUUAUAAAACCCACUUCACAAAUAAGACUAAGGCCUGUCCUAGCCCUAAAUACAAAUUCCUAACCCAAUUGAAACCCGACCCAGUUACUGAGAACCUAAAACAGACCCAAUUCCAGAGGCCCAAAGGCAGAUUGGCCCAGGUAGCCUGGGCAGGUGAUGUUUCUGGAAACUCAGGGUUCCCUCGUGCUGCAGUGCCCACGCCUGGCUUCCUCCGUACGACCAUCUCCGCGAUAGAACCUGCGAGAAGAAACAGCUAAGCAAUACCAAUAACAAAAUACAAAAUAGCCAGCAAAUGUAUAGCAAAAUCGAAUGCUUUUUUAUAUUUUUCUUCUAUUAUUUAUUCUAUAAAUCGGCUAUAAAAAGGGGCCGAAUGUAAUUUAUAAAAGUCUCUAGACUUUUUCGAAUACAAAGCAAACAAAGAAAUUACUCAAAGUUAAAAGGUGAUUUUCGAUUGAUUUUAUUUUUGAAGUUCUUUUAUUUUAUUUUGGUGUGUAAAAGUAAUAAGAAAGGGAAGAAAUCGCUCGCCUGAAUCCUCUCAAUCGCGUCGUCGGAGGGCCUUCUCCGUCGCUGCAAUCGGAUUUGACAAAAGGACGGAGAGCCUUCUUCCUCUGUUUCUUUAGUUGCCGAAGGUCUAGCCUUCAAAAGGGCUUCAAAAGGAGGGCUGAAAAGCUCAUUUUCCACAACAGCGGCCACUGGCCACGACGGCAGUUGAGGGUAUGGAUGGUGGCCCUUUCGGCUGGAAGAAAAGGGGAGGAGAUGGGAGAGUUUUAAAGUUUUAGUUUUUUUUUUUUUUUAGAAACAAGGGUUAAAAUGAUUUUAAAACAAAAAUUUCGAUUUAAGUAGUAAAGGGAAAAAGGCGCCGUUUAGAAGGGUAUUCUCAAAGGCCAAAACGACACCGUUUUGAGCCUCUAACCCGUGACCCAACCCGAUCGCCCUCAGGAUCCGCUUGUUUUUGCAGUGAAGGGAUAUUUGCGCACUUAGCCCCUCCGUUUCGUGCUGUCAUUUGAUUAAACCGUAUUUAUAUAUAUUUUUUUAAUGUUUCCCCAAGAUUUGUGCACUAUUUUAAUUUAGUACGUAUUUAAACGCUGCGUUCAAGAACUUGGUAUAAUUUCGCUUUUAAUCCCCUUUCAUUGGCGCGCAUUGUGUUUUAAUCCCUAAUUCUGUUUUAAUGAUUUAUUUAUAGAUUACCCUUUUAUUUUAUUUUUAUUUCAAUUGAGUUUUUUUUUUUUGAGAUUAUGUUUUUACUCUUUGUAAUUAUUUUAUAUUUUUUAAAAUUUUAUUAUUCGUUUUUUAAAUUAUCUUAACAUGGUUUUUUUUAAAGUAUUUUAUUGAUUCUAUAUUGCUAAUUUGUUAUUUCUUUCAUUUGUAUAUUUUUUAAAAAAUUUGUUCUAUUAUAUGAUUUUUUUUAUGUUAUUUUAAAAUUUUCUUUUAUAGAUAUAUCUUUGUUUUAAAAUUUUAUUUGAUAUCUAUUUUAAAUAAUUUUAUACAUUAUUAUAUUAUACAUUAUUUUUUUGUGUGUAUAUAUUGUUGUUUUUGUAUUAUUUUAUGUAAAUAUUUUCUUUUAAAUCUAUUUAUAUUUAUAUAUGUUUUCUUUUAAAUUUAUAUAUAAUUUAUCUUUUUAAAGUAUAUUUGUUUAUUGCAAACAUUUUUAUAUAUUAUUAUUUCUAUAUAUAUAUAUAAAUAUAUUUAUAAUAAGUUUUUUCAUUUCAUGUGUAUUAUUUAUGUAGAUAGAUUUGUAUUAUUUUGUAUAGUAUGAUUUUCUUCUUAUCUAAUAUUUAUCUCAAAAGUCUUCAUGUAUUACUAUUUAAUAUAUUAUUUAUUUUUAUUUCUAUUUCUUAUUUUUUUAUCUAUUUUAAAAUUUCGCACAUAUUACUUGCUUUUAAAAAUUUUACAUGUGGAUUGUUGUUUGUUAAUGAUUUCAAAUUUCCCUUCUUUCGUAUUAUUCAUGUUUUAUUUAUUUUAAAACUUGUUCCAUGUUAUUUAUGUUAAUUUGCUUGGUAUUUCUUCUAAAAUUGUCUUUUAAUUCAUUGACCUUCGAGUAUUAAUGUUAGUAUUUGUAUAGUGUAUGAUGUGCUGCCAUUGUAUGUACUUUAAUUUGGCUCUUUCAUAUUUUUCAUAUGAUUAUUAUUCAUUUGCAUAGUAUUAUUGCCAUGUAUUAUUAUUCCAUGUUCGCAAUUAUGCUUUUAUUUCUUGUCACCGCAUCGUGAUUACAAUUUCAACUUUUGCCCAAUAUCGAUUGUCUUUUAUUUUUAAGUAAACCAAACAAAUAUAUUUUGAGUUGGUCUUAUAAUCGCUUAUUUGAAAAGCCUCUUGAAACAAGGCAAUAUUUCGUAUUUGAAAAUUCAAGAAAUCGUGCCCUAACGUACUGGGUUUCAAUUUUUCGUUGCCCAAAUAACCAAAUAUCCUUUUAAAAUUUCAAUGCAUGAAUUUUGGAAAUCAUGAGAUGGUCUUGGUAUCGAGGGUUUGAAAUAUUAUAUCCUAACAUGCUAAAUAUGAUAUUUUAUUCCUUCGGAACAAGUGAAUCUUAAUAUCCAAUUUGGAUUAUCCAAACAUGUUUUAAUGGAGUUGUAUUUUAAAUCUUUUCAAAUUUUUAACAUUAGGACAUUAAUUAAUCAAUAAGGUACCAAUUUUAGGCGCUACGGGGUGCUAAUCCUUCCUCGUGAGUAACUAACUCCCGAAUCCGUUUUCUUAAAUUUCGUAAGCUAAAAUCAAUAUUUUAAUAAAAUAAAAAUGUUUUAUAGGUGCCGAUCACACUUAAACAAAAAAGAUUGGUGGCAACUCCAUUUUCGUUUUUAAAGCCGAUUCCCAUUUUUUUCAAAAUAUAAAAAAUAAUUUCAACAAACCCUUUCAAAAUUACUAUCAAAAUACACUUUAUUAACUUACUGGUGCUUAGGGAGAAAAUACUUUUAAGUUUGAUAACAUAAACUUUAUUAAGGUUAGACCCGAGGGCAAUGCUAUGGGCCUAGGAGGACUCGACUCCCCCUAAAAUAAAAUAAAAAAUUUAAUCUUUUAAAAUUUUAUAAAAAUUUGUAAGCUAAUAUAUUAUAAAAUUAUACUUUUAACUCACAAAAUUAAUAAAAUUUUGAUUUAAUUCUUUAAAAUAUUAAAAAGAUAUAAGCUAUUAAAAUGAUAAAUUUACAUUUUAGCUUUUAUAAAAACAUACAAAUUAACUUCAGUCCUCCAAAACAAUUUCCUAACUUCAUCCAAAUACCCAAAGAGUCUAUUCUUGUAUCUUGAGUACCAAAUCCGAGAUGAUCCAUCGGGCCAAUAUUGCAGAUUUUAAGCAAACAGAAGCUCAUAAAAGUGUGGCAAAAUUGUAGCCCAUGUCAAAGGUCAUAUAUCAUUGACUGCAAGAUGAGCAGCCAAGCCAAGUUCAGCUUCAGUUAGUGAGCACGGUUCACCAUGUUGAAACCCCCUAAUCCGAGGCUUAUACAUCCAAAGCCUCAUAUGUCAAUCCGAGUUUAAGAUAUUUGGGAUGUAAUGAAGAAUACUAUCCUCCAAGGUAUACGGAGUUUCAGGAGCAGUAGAUCAAUAUAGCAAGGCAUUUUCAGUAACCCAAGAAGAGGUGCUAUGUCAGGAUGCCGGAGGCCUCCCGGGAUACAUAGUCUCAUCAAAUAACUACAGAUACAAAAAUGGGCAAGAGAAACUUAGCAGGAGGGUUACAGGCACAACAUUCAUCAUUACCCUAUCCUGCUAAACAAAAACCGAGAUUCGCCCAACAAUUUCAAUCACCAUUUUGCAAAGGCACAAGGAAAAUUGGAGAGAAAACGAUGAUCUUACAGGUACUUCCGUAGACUCAACAAAUAUGCUUUAAGGGAUGCCUAGAUAUUUGAUAAUCAUAAGGCUGUGAAGCUAUAUAGACCUAACAAGUUUAGACUCGAUAUGAUUAAACAACAAACACCAACCCGAUACAAAUAAACAAACAUGCAAAAAUGUAUAUAAGACGAAUUAUUAACGCGACUAUGACACAUGAAAAUACACAAAUACGAUACAAACAAAUGAAUUGCCGAGUCUAAGGCUAUGCAAAUUGCAAUGCAAGUAUCUCAAACAAUAGAAAAUAGAUCGAAAACGACAUACUCAAACAAUAGAAAAUAGAUCGAAAAUGACAUUCUAAGACAUUAUUAAUAGCAAUCAGUUAUAGACUGUCACGAACAUUACAACAACAACAACAACAACAACAGCAGCUUUAACGAGCAUACAUACGAACAAGCAGGUUCCAUGAUGGGAAAGUUAUCUAAGUUUCGGUUUUUUCCUUCUUCCCCAAGAACUGUAAACCGAAUGCGAAGCCUAAGAUCAAGAGGGGUACCAGGAACUGUAUAAUCUUAAACAGAAAGCCAGGCUCGUCUUGUUGAGUUGCCGCGGUUGACGUCUGUGCUUUGUAUGUCCUUCGUGCGGGAAUGGUGGUGGCAUCGACCUCACCAAUAUAGUACUUCUGCAUCUGCUCUCUUGCAUCAUCACUGUGACCUACGUCUUCGAAAUCAUCGGUCGCAUCUUUUCCUAUAUAAUUAGGUAUUGAUAUGUUACAACAUAUAUAUAUAUACAGAUACGAAUCCGGCUAGCUAUAUGAACAUUAAGCUCGUAAUUGUCGGACAAGAGCAUUGAACAAACAUCUUACCACUAGCAGCAAGCAAAACUUCAUCUCCACCAGGAUGGUCCUCCAAGAAUUGGGUUACAUUAUACACCUUAAAGAACAUGCAAGGGUAAGCUAAUCAUUAAAUUAAAUUGCUUCCAUUAUUAUACUAAUUACUUUAAAAUCUCCAACCAGAGAUUUUUUUUGGGGGGGGGGAGAUCAAUAAUUUUCCCAUAAUUUCAUCAAAGAUGCACCUCUUCUGCAGAAAAAAAAGAUCUAAUUUUGCUUACUUUUUAUACCUAUGAAUUUCCAUUUCUUCACAGUUCAAUCCAAAAACAAAUUAAAAAAACCUAGCUUUGCAUAUUCCACAGUUCCAACUACUUAAAUAAGUAAAAAAAAACUACAAAAAGGGGGAAAACCCAAAUCAGAUUCAUCCAAAAAUGAAAUGAAAACCAAACCUUUCCAGAGAUCAAAAGCCAACAAUCAUUUCUGUCUUUGUGCUUCACCAGAUCUUCAUAAACAAAUACCUUUUCUCCUGAACCCAUUUCUUGAACUACAAAAUGAAAAGAAAAAAAAAGAGAUAAAUUCAACAGAAAAAGCACAGUGAAGUGCAGAAAUUGACAAGUUUUAUAAG
rnacentral:lncRNA from 1 species